CGUGGGGUGAAUCUCACUUCGGGAAUCCUCCCUUCUGACUCCUUCAUGCAGGUGCUAUGCUCUAGUUUCUUUGCUAGUAAAUUGAUGAAUGAUACGUCUCCAACGUAUCUAUAAUUUUUGAUUGGUCCAUGCUAUUAUAUUAUCCAUCCAUGAUGUUUUAUAUGCAUUUAUAUGCUAUUUUAUAUGAUUUUUGAGACUAACCUAUUAACCUAGAGCCCAGUGCCAGUUUAUGUUUUUUCCUUGUUUUUGAGUAUCACAGAAAAGGAAUACCAAACAAAGGCCAAUUGACGUGCCAAUUUUUGAUGAUUUUUAUGGACCAAAAGAAGACCACGGAGCAUCGGAGUUGGGCCAGAAGAGCCCUGGGCUGCCCACGAGGGUGGGGGCGCGCCCACCCCCCUGGGCGCGCCCCCUGCCUCGUGCACAGCCCGGAGACCCCCCCUGACUUGUUGCCGAUGCCAAAAAUUCCUAUAAAUACAGACACCUCCAGAAACAAACCUAGAUCGGAGUUCCACCGCCGCAAGCCUCUAUAGCCACCAAAAACCAAUCAGGACCCUGUUCCGGCACAUUGCCGGAGGGGGGAACCCUCACCGGUGGCCAUCUUCAUCAUCCCGACGAUCUCCAUGACGAGGAGGGAGUAGUUCACCCUCGAGGCUGAGGGUACGUACCAGUAGCUGUGUGUUUGAUCUCUCUCUCGUGUUCUUGAGGUGGUAUGAUCUUGAUGUACCGCGAGCUUUGCUAUUAUAGUUGGAUCUUAUGAUGUUUCUCCCCCUCUACUCUCUUGUAAUGGAUUGAGUUUUCCCUUUGAAGUUAUCUUAUCAGAUUGAGUCUUUAAGGAUUUGAGAACACUUGAUGUAUGUCUUGCCGUGCUUAUCUGUGGUGACAAUGGGAUAUUCAUGUGAUCUACUUGAUGUAUGUUUUGGUGAUCAACUUGCGGGUUCACCUUGUGAACGUAUGCAUAGGGGUUGGCACACGUUUUCAUCUUGACUCUCCGGUAGAAACUUUGGGGCACUCUUUGAAGUACUUUUGUGUUGGUUGAAUAGAUAAAUCCGAGAUUGUGUGAUGCAUAUCGCAUAAUCAUACCCAUGGAUACUUGAGGUGACAAUGGAGUAUCUAGGUGACAUUAGGGUUUUGGUUGAUUUGUGUCUUAAGGUUCUAGUACGAACUCUAUGAUAGAUUUAACAGAAAGAAUAGCUUCGUGUUAUUUUACUACGGACUCUUGAAUAGAUCGAGCAGAAAGAAUAACUUUGAGGUGGUUUCAUACCCUACCAUAAUCUCUUCGUUUGUUCUCCGCUAUUCGUGACUUUGGAGUGACACUUUGUUGCAUGUUGAGGGAUAGCUAUAUGAUCCAACUAUGUUAUUAUUGUUGAGAGAACUUGCACUAGUGAAAGUAUGAACCCUAGGCCUUGUUUCCUAGCAUUGCAUUACCGUUUACACUCACUUUUAUCAUUAUUUACCUUGGUGUUUUUAUAUUUUUCAGAUUACAAAAACCUAUAUCUACCAUCCAUAUUGCACUUGUAUCACCAUCUCUUCGCCGAACUAGUGCACCUAUACAAUUUACCAUUGUAUUGGGUGUGUUGGGGCACAAGAGACUCUUUGUUAUUUGCUUGCAGGGUUGUUUGAGAGAGACCAUCUUCAACCUACGCCUCCCACAGACUGAUAAACCUUAGGUCAUCCACUUGAGGGAAAUUUGCUACUGUCCUACAAACAUCUGCACUUGGAGGCCCAACAACGUAUACAAGAGGAAGGUUGCAUAGUAGACAUCAAGCUCUUUUCUGGCGCCGUUGCCGGGGAGGUGAGUGCUUGAAGGUAUAUCUUUAGAUCUUGCAAUCGAAUCUUUUAGUUUCUUGUUUUAUCACUAGUUUAGUUUAUAAAAGAAAACUACAAAAAAAUGGAAUUGAGUUUGCCUCAUACGAUUCAUCUUUUUAAUAUCUUUCAUGAGUAUGAUGGAAAGGAAAAUUGUGCUCAAGUGCUAGCAGAAGAAACCUAUAGAAUGUUUAGCACUAAAUCUUUGUAUGAUGAGCAUGAUUGCAAUGUUGUUAGUAUGAAUUCCUUGAAUAUCCAUGAUGCUAAAGAUAUGCAGAGCCACAAGCUUGGGGAAGCUAUGUUUGAUGAAUAUGAUAUUUUUUGUCCCCCAAGUUUUGAUGAGCAAAUUUAUUAUGAUGAUAGGAUGCCUCCUAUUUAUGAUGAUUAUUGUGAUGAUACAUAUGCCAUAAAGAAUAAACUUGCUUAUGUGGAGAGUAGUAAAAUUUCUAUGCCUGUGGAUCAUGAAAAGAAUGCUUUAGGUGCUGGUUAUAUUGUUGAAUUCAUUCAUGAUGUUACUGAAAAUUAUUAUGAGGGAGGAACAUAUGCUUGUAGGAAUUGCAAUAAUAUCAAGUUUCCUCUCUAUGUGCUUAAAGUUUUAAAGUUAUGCUUGUUUUGCCCUUCUAUGCUAGUUGAUUAUUGUUCCCAUAAGUUGUUUGCUCACAAAAUCCCUAUGCAUAGGAAGUGGGUUAGACUUAAAUGUACUAUUCAUAUUCUUCAUGAUGCUUUCUUUAUGUUUCAAUUCUUAUCUUUUAUGUGAGCAUCAUUGAAAUCAUCAUGCCUAGCUAGGGGCGUUAAACAUUAGCGCUUGUUGGGAGGCAACCCAAUUUUAUUCUUGUUCUUUGCUUUUUGUUUCUGUAUAGUAAUAAAUAAUUUAUCUAGCCUCUGUUUAGAUGUGGUUUUAUGUUUUAAUUAGUGUUUGUGCCAAGUAGAACCUUUGGGAAGACUUGGGUGAAGUCUUUAUGAUCUUGCUGUAAAAAAAUAGAAACUUUAGCGCUCACGAGAUUAGCUGCCAUUUUUUACUGGAGAGUGCUUUUAGAUUGAUUCUUUUUGAAGAUGAUUAAUAAACAAAUUCCUGAGGUCCAACAAUUUAUUUCAGAAUUUUUGGAGUUCCAUAAGUAUAGGUUUGAUACAGAUUACUACAGACUGUUCUGUUUUUGACAGAUUCUGUUUUCAUUGUGUUGUUUGCUUAUUUUGAUGAAUUUAUGAGUAGUAUCGGAGGGUAUGAACCAUAGAGAAGUUGGAAUACACUAGAUAUUACACCAAUAUGAAUUUAGAAUGAGUUCAAAACAGUACCAAAAGUGGUGGUUUUAUUUAUUUAUACUAACGGGGCUUACGAGUUUUCUGUUGAGUUUUGUGUUGUGAAGUUUUCAAGUUUUGGGUAAAGAUUCGAUGGACUAUGGAAUAAGGAGUGGCAAGAGCCUAAGCUUGGGGAUGCCCAAGGCACCCCAAGGUAAUAUUCAAGGAUAACCAAGAGCCUAAGCUUGGGGAUGCCCCGGAAGGCAUCCCCUCUUUCGUCUUCGUUCAUCAGUAACUUUACUUGGAGCUAUAUUUUUAUUCACCACAUGAUAUGUGUUUUUCCUGGAGCGUCAUUUUAUUUUAUUUUGUUUUACAUGCUGUUUGAAUAAAAUACCAAGAUCUUACAUUCUUAAAUGUUAGAGAGUCUUCACAUAGUUACGUAAUUAUUCAACUACUCAUUGAUCUUCACUUAUAUCUUCCGGAGUAGUUUGUCGUUGCUCUAGUGCUUCACUUAUAUCUUUUUAGAGCAUGGUGGUGGUUUUAUUUUGUAGAAAUAGAUGAAUUCUCAUUGUUCACUUAUAUUAUUUUGAGAGUCCUACAAACCAGCACGGUAAUUUGCUUUGGUUGAAAUUUUAGUCCUAGAAGUGAUGGGCAUCCAAGAGGGAUAUAAUAAAAACUUUCAUAUAAAGUGCAUAGAACACUGUGUGAAGUUUGAUUCCUUAUGAUUGUUUUGAGAUAUGAAGAUGGUGAUAUUAGUCACGCUAGUUGAGUAGUUGUGAAUUUGAGAGAUACUUGCGUUAAAGUUUGUGAUUCCCGUAGCAUGCACGUAUGGUGAACCGUUAUGUGAUGAAGUCGGAGCAUGAUUUAUUUAUUGAUUGUCCUCCUUAUGAGUGGCGGUCGGGGACGAGCGAUGGUCUUUUCCUACCAAUCUAUCCCCCUAGGAGCAUGCGCGUAGUACUUUGUUUCGAUAACUAAUAGAUUUUUGCAAUAAGUAUGUGAGUCCUUUAUGACUACUGUUGAGUCCAUGGAUUAUACACACUCUCACCCUUUCACCAUUGCUAGCCUCUCUAACACCACGCACCUUUCGCCGGUAUCAUACACCCACCAUAUACCUUCCUCAAAACAGCCAUCAUACCUACCUAUUAUGGCAUUUCCAUAGCCAUUCCGAGAUAUAUUGCCAUGCAACUUUUCACUGUUCCAUUUAUUAUGACAUGCUCCAUCAUUGUCAUAUUGCUUUGCAUGAUCAUGUACUUGACAUCGUAUUUGUGGCAAAGCCACCGUUCAUAACUCUUUCAUAAAUGUCACUCUUGAUUCAUUGCACAUCCCGGUACACCGCCGGAGGCAUUCAUAUAGAGUCAUAUUUUGUUCUAAGUAUCGAGUUGUCAUUCAUGAGUUGUAAGUGAAUAAAAGUGUGAUGAUCAUCAUUACUAGAGCAUUGUCCCUUGUGACAGUAGUAGAAAAAAGGCUUUGGUUAAGGCCGGGUCAGCCCAUUAGUCCCGGUUCAGUCCAGAACCGGGACCCAUGGGGGCAUUGGUCCCGGUUCGUGAGCCCAGGGGGCCGGCCUGGCCACGUGGGCCAUUGGUCCCGGUUCGUCUGGACCUUUUGGUCCCGGUUGGUGGGACGAACCGGGACCACUAGGCCUGGCUCCUGGCCCACCACCAUUGGUCCCGGUUGGUGGCUUGAACCGGGACGACAGGCUGAGGUGCCUAUAUAUACUGUAACAUCCCGAUUUUCGGAAUGUUUAAGAAAAAGUUUUCGAAAAAUCAGGGCAAGAAAAUUCUGUUUGUUUUAUUUUGUAACAAAGCUUAAACUGAACUUUUAUAAUUUGGAUGAUUUAAAUUGAUCUAAUGCGAACUUAAAUUUAAAUUGAGUUUGUUCUUCUCUUUUAGUUGGGUUUUGGUUUUCUCCCUUCAGCAUAUUAAAUUAUGCAUGUAUGUAUUUGGAACUUCUUUUGAAUUCGUUAACUUCUAUUCCUUUUCUAAAUUUUCCUAAGAGGAAAAUCAAUUUGUUUUCCCUGUCUCAAACUCUGGGCGAAAUUCCAUCGGUCCAACAUAUCUCCUUCCCUUCCCUAGGUUCAGCCACUAUUUUUUUUUCUUGUCUAAGUCGCAUGGGCCUAGCCCAUCUAUUUUUAUUUUUAUUUUCUUGUUUUCCCUCCUCUCCCCAUGGGCUGGAUCCACUUGGCCCAUAUCUCUAGCCGACGAAUGUCUCUCCAUGCAUACGGCCCUCUUAUUAACAAAAUAGAGUAGUAUCAACAUGGUUCCAAAGGUCCUCAAAAUUGAAAAAAGAAGCAAAACAAGCUCACACAGAGCCCGGAAAAGCUAGAUACAUCAAACUAGCCACAUCAAUGUGCCACAACCGGCUGGGCAAACUAGAUAGGAAUACUAAAUACCUAUCCUAUUACAUGACCGCCAUCCAAACCGGUUGAAGAUAUCCCGAGCUACCAUCUCCCAACGGAUAGACCCAGUAACCAAAUGCUCCUUGGCCUCCGUCUGGGUGAGUAGCGACCACGAACGAAUCAGAGCCGUAGUCCGGAAUAAAACCUGCAAAAUUGUAUACAUGAUAUUCUGUUAAAGACCAAAUCGUUUCUGCAGUUCCAGAUGGUCCACAGCAAAGCACAAACCCCCACCCGAAUAUGUCUCCCUAAGUUGGGCUCAAUCCCAUUAAGCCAUGUCCCAAAUAAAGUAUUAACAGAAUUCGGUGGUUUGAUGUUAAAAGCAAUGUGGACCGUCUGCCAUAGAACCUUUGCAAGCGGACAAUCAAAAAAGAGGUGUUUAAUAGACUCAUCCCGAUCACAGAAACUACACCUAGUAGGUCCUGUCCAAUUGCGCUUCUUCAAGUUAUCCUUAGUUAAAAUUACUUGUUUAUGAACAAACCACAUAAACACUUUUAUUUUCAAAGGAACUUUGACAUCCCAAACAUGUUUGGACGUAGGAAUGGAGCUCGAAUUAAUAACAUCAAUAUACAUUGAUUUAACCGUGAAGCCUCCAGACUUAGUCAACUUCCAGCGCAAUUCAUCAGGUUGUUGAGACAGCUGGAUAUCCAUCAGCCUUCUAACUAGAUGGAGCCAUUGUUCCCAAUGAUUGCCCGCUAGCACUCGUCUGAACUGAAUAUUAAGGGGGAUAGAUUGAAAAACCGAAGCAAUGACCACCUCCUUUCGUUGAACAAUACGAUACAAGGAGGGAUAUUGGAUGGCCAGGGGUGUGUCACCAAGCCAAGUGUCCUCCCAGAAACGUGUGCUCAAGCCGUUUCCGACAACAAACUUUGUCCUAUUAAUGAAAGCCUGCUUGACCUUCAUGAGCCCCUUCCAGAAAGGCGAGUCAGUCGGCCUUACAGAGACUUGCGACAAAGUUUUUGACUGGAGGUACUUGCCGCGAAGGAUCUGUGCCCACACAGCAUCCGUCUCCGACGCGAGCUUCCACAGCCACUUGCUAAGCAGGCAUUUAUUCUUAAUCUCAAGAUUCUCAAUACCUAGACCCCCUUGGUCCUUCGGUCUACAAAUAAUGUCCCACUUAGCAAGUCUGUAUUUUCUUUUCAGCUAAUCACCCUGCCAGAAGAACCGCGAUCUAUAGAAGUCCAGUCUCUUCCUGACUCCAACUGGUACCUCAAAGAACGAAAGAAGAAACAUCGGCAAACUUGUGAGCACCGAAUUAAUUAGGAUUAACCGGCCUCCAUAAGAUAAGAGCUUGCCCUUCCAGCAGCUCAGUUUCUUCUCAAAUCGGUCUUCAAUGCACUUCCAUUCUCUGUUCGUUAGCCUACAAUGGUGGAUAGGAAUCCCUAAGUACGAGAAAGGUAACUGUCCCAACUCACACCCAAACAAUUGCCUGUAGGCUUCCUGCUCAUCGAUGGCCCUACCAAAGCAGAACAACUCGCUCUUAUGAAAGUUGAUCUUCAAUCCGGUCAAUUGUUCGAAUAGGCAUAAAACCAUCUUCAUAUUCCUAGCCUUAACCACGUCAUGCUCCAUAAAGAUGAUCGUAUCAUCAGCGUAUUGUAGGAUGGAAAUGCCUCCAUUAACCAGAUGAGGCACCAAUCCACCUACUUGACCAUUUUCCUUAGCCCGUCCUAUCAGAAUUGCCAACAUAUCUACCACAAUGUUGAACAAGAUAGGGGACAUUGGGUCUCCUUGUCGUAAGCCUUUAUGGGUCUGAAAGUAAUGACCUAUAUCAUCAUUAACUUUAAUUCCCACACUACCUUUUUGCGUAAAUGAUUGCACCUGCCUUCGCCAGGCUUCAUCAAACCCUUUCAUACGCAAAGAUUGUUGGAGAAAUGGCCACUUAAUCUUAUCAUACGCUUUCUCGAAAUCCACUUUAAAAAUCACUCCAUCCAAUUUUUUGGAGUGGAUUUCAUGGAGCGUUUCAUGCAGAACUACCACCCCUUCUAGAAUGUUUCUGUCUGGCAAGAACGCGGUUUGGGAUUGAUGCACCACAGAAUGCGCAAUCUGUGUGAGCCUGUUGGUCCUGACCUUUGUGAAGAUUUUGAAACUAACAUUUAGGAGACAGAUCGGCCUGAAUUGCUCAAUUCUGACCGCAUCCGUCUUCUUAGGUAGUAAUGUGAUAGUCCCAAAAUUCAGGUGGAAUAAUUGAAGUUGUCCAGAGAAUAGAUCAUGAAACAUAGGUAGUAAAUCCCCCUUAAUAAUGUGCCAGCACUUCUUAUAGAACUCGGCCGGGAAACCAUCCGGACCAGGAGCCUUAUUAUUUUUCAUUUGAGCAAUUGCCUCAAACACCUCCUUCUCCGAGAACGGGGCAACCAGAAUGUCAUUAUCAGCAGCCGAAAGCUGAGGUACAUCCUCAGUCAUGGACUCAUCAAGUGACACCGUAUUCUCCUCCGGUGGACCAAAUAACUGCUUAUAAUACUCAGUGAUAUAUGUUUUUAGGUUAUCCUGACCUAAAAUUGUACCCUCGUCCUGCUCAAGCUGAAAGAUUCGCUUCUUUCUAUGCUUGCCAUUAGCAAUUAAAUGAAAGAACUGAGUAUUCGCGUCCCCCUGGACCACUCUACGAACCUUAGCACGUAAAGCCCACUUUAGUUCUUCUUCGCGUAGUAGUUCUUUCAACCGCUUUUCCGCCUCAUUUUUAACCUGAAGCUCUGCGGGGACUAAAACAUUAGACUCGGCUUUUACGUCCAAGUCAUAUACAAGAGAAAGGAGUCUAUCCUUUUCAAUCUUAUACGCACCACUAAGAUGCUUAGCCCAACCCCUCAAGAAGCUUCUCAAAUUCCUAAUCUUAUUCUGCCAACGCUCAAUGGGUGUUUUACCGCGAACCUCUUUAGCCCAUUCCCUGGCAAUCAAGUCAAAGAACCCCUCACGUUCGAACCAUGACGUCUCAAAUGAGAAGGUGUUCUUAUUACCCACGUGGUUCGGCUCCCCUGAGUCCAUGAACAAUGGGGUAUGAUCAGAUAUUCCCCUCGAAAGGGCUUGCACCGUGACCAACGGGAAUUUUUGUUCCCACUCCACGCUUGCAAGAACCCGAUCAAGUUUUUCGUAAGUUGGGUUUGGCAUAGCGUUGGCCCAUGUAAACUUUCGACCCGAGAGUUCUAUCUCUCUCAGAUCCAAGCUUUCAAUAAUGGUGUUGAACAUGAAGGACCAUCUACCAUCAAAGUUGUCAUUGUUCUUCUCCUCCCGCCUCCGGAUGAUAUUGAAAUCACCUCCGACUAAAAUCGGUAGUUGUUCUGACCCACAAAUUCGAACUAGGUCAGCUAGAAACUCCGCUUUCCAACUCAGGCUGCGCGGCACCAUAUACCGCCACCAAAGCCCAGUUAAAGCCAUCAAUCUUAGACCUAACUCGAAACUUUACGGCGAAGUCACCCAUCACUACACUACGGACUUCAAGUAAAUCGCAUCUCACACCUAGUAAGAUGCCCCCCGAUCUUCCUCGCGGAGGUAAGCAAUGCCAAUCGAAAUCUAUACCACCAACUAGUGAGGAGAGAAACUGUGGUGCAAAGUUAUCUCUACCCGUCUCCGAUAGAGCAACAAAAUCUAGCUUCUGCUCAAUAGAAGUCUCAGCCAGGAAUCUUCUUUUAGCCAAGUCCUUAAGACCUCUGCUGUUCCAAAAAAUUCAUCUCAUAGUUCAUCAUGGAAUUUUUUGGUGGUUCGAAUCCUAGCACUCCUACGAACUGCGGAAUCGGGAUAAAUCUUCCGUUUCCACUUACGUUUAGGUUUAUUAAGCUCGAGUCCCCGUUCCUCAUGACCGGGUUCUGAAAUAUUGCUAGCGUCAUUCUGUAGGGGCACAUCCUCUUCGUCAGCCUCAUGGUUAGUGGGUGCGAGAUCCUCACACAGGCUAUCAAGCACUCUAACUCCUAACGCAUUUAUCUCAUCAUCAUUCAUAGGUUUAACUGCUGCAAGAUUACGAAUAGUCUCUAAAGCCCGUUCCGCUUCCAGGUCUAAAAUAUCAUUCACCGAUUUGGUAAUUUCACUAUCUGUAGCACCUAGUGAAACUCCUAAUUGGUUUGCAUUAUUUAUAAUGUCCUCAUUAGAAAAAUGCAAUAAGGAAUUAGACAAGUCAACGGACAUACCCGAUGUACAAGCAGCCUCCUGAAGCUUGGCCUCCCUCAUAGCGCACCGCUGCUGCAUAUCAUCAACCUCCGGGACGUCGAGGAUGCGAGCACUCAUCCGUCUGCCCCCGGAAGUAGGGUCCGGGAUCCCGCCAAACGCGAUCACCUCCUCCCUGUAUAACCUGGCACCAAAACUCCAGGUGGUGCCGAGGUCACUAGCGAAGGCAUCUGCGGGCUCCCGAUCCCCUUGGACGAGUGCCCCACCGCAGGCAAUGGGGAGGAGUGAACGACCGGGGCCUCCUGCCCGCCGUCUCUUCCCGCCCCAACCUGCGGCUCAGACGUAGUAGCCCUCGGAGGGGUGGUCCGCCUGACCACCUGGGCAGAGGGAGGAGACCGGGCCACCUGCCCUGGCGUCCCCCCUCCCGCAGCAGCAGCGACAGUGGUAGCCACCACCGUCGCGGAAGUCGUCAAGGCCGCCUGCCUCGAGGACCCUCCAGCCGCUGGAACCGACCCCCUAGGGGUCAAGCCCACCGGCGAAACCUGCAACGUCCUCGGGACGGGGGGAGAAUGGACUUCAGGUCCCGAACCCCCUCCCCCACAACCCCUCGGCCCCGUGCUCGCUGACACCGAAGUCACUCCCACAACAGUCAGCAAUCCAGUAGGGCUAUCACUGUGCCCGCAGUCCGCACCAACCUCCCUCUCAACCUCCAGUGAAGGAAGCGUGUGCUCAAGAGCAUCGUCCGACUCCACCCUGUCACUCCAAAGCCUGGGAGGUGCCGAAGCUGGCUCGAAAGAACCGAAACGCAAAGUAGCCAUGGGUACCGCCGGUGAGACAGUGGGCUCAGCCUCCGGUCCAGUCCCGGCCGACUGAGGUUGAGAUCCGUUGGAUCCCUCUCGCAUGGUCUCAUCUGACGGUGCCCCCUUAGUCCCAGCACCACCCUCACGGUCGUGCAUAUCAACAUCAUUGCCGUUAACUGCAUCGUCAAAUAAGUCGGUGUCCUCAAACUCAAUAUCUAGCGGGAAGACCUCACCCUUAUAUGUCCAGUUGACCUUAUCAGGCACAUACUCAAUAUCCAAAAUGCUCACAAGAAUCCGGGCAAUCCCAUUGGCACGAGUGAAAGCCAUGUCCACUUUUUUAGUUUUUCCAACGAGGAUACCCAAACUGGCCACAACACGAGCGUCCUGCAGAGGCUUAGAUGGAGCCCCCAAAAACCUCAGCCAUACCUGUGUAAGCGGUUUUCCUUUAGGCUCAACCUGUUUCCACUCAUUAAACUCCAGAAUACACUUAGUACCGGGAACUUUACACAAGCCAAAACUUAACAAUUUCUGCAGGUCCUCGACAGAUGUGAAAUCAACCUUAAAAACUCUGUCCUCAAUGGGCACUAACUCCCAAACAAAAUCACCGGGAGCUAACUCCUGCAACCUCCUCACAAUCUGUGCCUCAGUCACCUCACCCUGUGUCGCUCUGACAAUCUCAGUAGUUGAAGUGUGGUUAUCCUCCGGGACCACUCUCACCUCCGGGGACUCAAAAAACAUGAGCUCAGCACAGUAGACUCCAUAGAUGUUCAGAGUCGGAGGUACGUCACGCAAGAUCGGGCACUCACCCGACUCAUGUGCAAGCUUGCCACAUGACUCACAAAAUUGGUGAAGGAAAUAUGCCCUAGAGGCAAUAAUAAAGUUAUUAUUUAUUUCCUUAUAUCAUGAUAAAUGUUUAUUAUUCAUGCUAGAAUUGUAUUAACCGGAAACAUAAUACAUGUGUGAAUAUAUAGACAAACAGAGUGUCACUAGUAUGCCUCUACUUGACUAGCUUGUUAAUCAAAGAUGGUUAUGUUUCCUAACCAUGGACAAAGAGUUGUUAUUUGAUUAACAGGAUCACAUCAUUAGUUGAAUGAUCUGAUUGACAUGACCCAUUCCGUUAGCUUAGCACCCGAUCGUUUAGUAUGUUGCUAUUGCUUUCUUCAUGACUUAUACAUGUUCCUAUGACUAUGAGAUUAUGCAACUCCCGUUUACCGGAGGAACACUUUGUGUGCUACCAAACGUCACAACGUAACUGGGUGAUUAUAAAGGUGCUCUACAGGUGUCUCCGAAGGUACUUGUUGGGUUGGCGUAUUUCGAGAUUAGGAUUUGUCACUCCGAAUGUCGGAGAGGUAUCUCUGGGCCCUCUCGGUAAUGCACAUCACUUAAGCCUUGCAAGCAUUGCAACUGAUGAGUUAGUUGCGAGAUGAUGUAUUACGGAACGAGUAAAGAGACUUGCCGGUAACGAGAUUGAACUAGGUAUUGGAUACCGACGAUCGAAUCUCGGGCAAGUAACAUACCGAUGACAAAGGGAACAACGUAUGUUGUUAUGCGGUCUGACCGAUAAAGAUGUUCGUAAAAUAUGUAGGAACCAAUAUGGGCAUCCAGGUCCCGCUAUUGGUUAUUGACCGGAGACGUGUCUCGGUCAUGUCUACAUUGUUCUCGAACCGUAGGGUCCGCACGCUUAAGUUUUCGAUGACAGUUUUAUUAUGAGUUUAUGAGUUUUGAUGUACCGAAGGAGUUCGGAGUCCCGGAUGAGAUCGGGGACAUGACGAGGAGUCUCGAAAUGGUCGAGACGUAAAGAUCGAUAUAUUGGACGACUAUAUUCGGAGUUCGGAAAGGUUCCGAGUGAUUCGGGUAUUUUUCGGAGUACCGGAGAGUUACGGGAAUUCGUAUUGGGCCUCUUUGGGCCAUACGGGAAAGGAGAGAAAGGGCCAAAAGGGUGGCCGCACCCCUCCCCUUGGACUAGUCCGAAUUGGACUAGGGAGGGGGGGCGCCCCCUUCCUUCCUUUUGCUUCUCUCUUCCCUUUCCUUCUCUCCUACUCCUACUACAUGGAAGGGUUCCUAGUUGGACUAGGAAAGGGGGAAUCCUACUCCCGGUGGGAGUAGGACUCCCCUAGGGCGCGCCAUAGAGGGCAGGCCCUCCCCUCCUCCACUCCUUUAUAUACGGGGGCAGGGGGCACCCCAUGGACACACAAGUUGAUCAUUGAGAUCGUUCCUUAGCCGUGUGCGGUGCCCCCCUCCACGAUAUUCCACCUCGAUCAUAUUGUUGCGGUGCUUAGGCGAAGCCCUGCGACAGGAGAACAUCAAGAUCGUCACCACGCCGUCGUGCUGACGGAACUCCCCCUCGGAACCUCUACUGGAUUGGAGAUCGAGGGUGCGUCAUCGAGCUGUACGUGUGUCAAGAACUCGGAGGUGCCGGAGUAACGGUGCUUGGAUCGGUUGGACCGGGAGGACGUACGACUACUUCCUCUACGUUGCGUCAACGCUUCCGCUUCAGUCUACGAGGGUACGUAGACAACACUCUCCCCUCUCGUUGCUAUGCAUCACCAUGAUCUUGCGUGUGCGUAGGAAAUUUUUUGAAAUAACUACGUUCCCCAACAGUGGCAUCCGAGCCAAGUUUUUAUGGUUUGAUGUUAUAUGCACGAGUAGAACACAAGUGAGUUGUGGGCGAUAUAAGUCAUACUGCUUACCAGCAUGUCAUACUUUGGUUCGGCGGUAUUGUUGGAUGAAGCGGCCUGGACCGACAUUACGCGUACGCUUACGCGAGACUGGUUUUACCGCCGUGCUUUGCACACAGGUGACUAGCGGGUGUCAGUUUCUCCAACUUUAGUUGAGCCGAGUGUGGCUACGCCCGGUCCUUGCGAAGGUUAAAACAGCAUCAACUUGACAAACUAUCGUUGUGAUUUUGAUGCGUAGGUGAGAUUGGUUCUUGCUUAAGCCCGUAGCAGCCACGUAAACCUUGCAACGACAAAGUAGAGGACGUCUAACUUGUUUUUGCAGGGCAUGUUGUGAUGUGAUAUGGUCAAGACGUGAUAAGAUAUAAGUUGUUGUAUGAGAUGAUCAUGUUUUGUUGAAGUUAUCGACAACUGGCAGAAGCCCUAUGGUUGUCUCUUUGUUGCAUAAGAUGCAACUACCAAAUAAUUGCUUUACUUUAUCGCUAUACGAUAGCAAUAGUUGUAAGAGCAAUAGUUGGUGAGACAACCAUGUGAUGACACAUUGAUAUAGAUCAAGAUGAUGAAGAUCAUGGUGUCGUGCCGGUGACGAUAGAGAUCAUGACAGUACUUUGGAUAUGGAGAUCAAAGGCGCAAGAUAAUCAUGGCCAUAUCAUGUCACAUAUUUUUGAUUGCAUAUGAUGUUUAUCUAUUAUACAUCUUAUUCUUGCUUUGAUUGACGGUAGCAUUUUAAGAUGAUCUCUCACUAAAUUAUCAAGAAGUGUUCUCCCUGAGUAUGCACCGUUGCCAAAGUUCGUCGUGCCCAGACACCACGUGAUGAUUGGGUGUGAUAAGCUCUACGUCCAUCUACAAUGGGUGCAAGCCAGUUUUGCACACGCGGAAUACUCAGGUUAAACUUGACGAGCCUAGCAUAUGCAGAUAUGGCCUUGGAACACGGAGACCGAAAGGUCGAGCGUGAAUCAUAUAGUAGAUAUGAUCAACAUAAGAUGUUCACCAUUGAAAACUACUCCAUCUCACGUGAUGAUCGGUUAUGGUUUAGUUGAUUUGGAUCACGUGAUCACUUAGAUGACUAGAGAGAUGUCUGUCUAAGUGGGAGUUCUUAAGUAAUAUGAUUAAUUGAACUUAAAUUUAUCAUGAACUUAGUCCUGGUAGUAUUUUGCGAAUUAUGUUGUAGAUCAAUAGCUCGCGUUGUUGCUUUCAUAUGUUUAUUUUCAUAUGUUCCUAGAGAAAAUUGUGUUGAAAAAUGUUAGUAGCAAUAAUGCGGAUUGGGUCCGCGAUCUGAGGUUUAUCCUCAAUGCUGCACAGAAGAAUUAUGUCCUUAAUGCACCGCUAGGUGACAGACCUAUUGCAGGAGCAGAUGCAGACGUUAUGAACGUUUGGCUAGCUCAAUAUGAUGACUACUUGAUAGUUUUGUGCACCAUGCUUUAUGGCUUAGAAUCGGGACAUCAAAGAUGUUUUGAACAUCAUGGACCAUAUGAGAUGUUCCAGGAGUUGAAGUUAAUAUUUCAAGCAAAUACCCGAGUUGAGAGAUAUGAAGUCUCCAACAAGUUCUAUAGCUAAAAGAUGGAGGAGAAUCGCUCAACUAGUGAGCAUGUGCUCAGAUUGUCUGGGUACUACAAUCGCUUGAAUCAAGUGGGAGUUAAUCUUCCAGAUAAGAUAGUGAUUGAUAGAAUUCUCUAGUCACCAUCACCAAGUUAGUAGAACUUCGUGAUGAACUAUAGUAUGCAAGGGAUGAUUCCCGAGUUUCUUCAUGAUGAUGAAAUCGAUGAAGGUAGAAAUCAAGAAAGAACAUCAAGUGUUGAUGGUUAACAAGACCACUAGUUUCAAGAAAAGGGCAAAGGGAUAGAAGGGAACUUCAAGAAGAACGGCAGGCAAGUUGCUGCUCAAGUGAGGAAGCCCAAGUCUGGACCUAAGCCUGAGACUAAGUGCUUCUACUGCAAAGGGAAUGGUUACUGGAAGCAGAACUACCCCAAGUAUUUGGCGGAUAAGAAGGAUGGCAAAGUAAACAAAUGUAUAUUUGAUAUACAUGUUAUUGAUGUGUACUUUACUAGUGUCUAUUGCAACCCCUCGGUAUUUGGUACUGGUUCAGUUGCUAAGAGUAGUAACGCGAAACGGGAGUUGCAGAAUACACUAGUUAAGGGAGAAGUGACGAUGAGUGUUGGAAGUAGUUCCAAGAUUGAUAUGAUCAUCAUCGCACACUCCCUAUACUUUUGGGACUAGUGUUGAACCUAAAUAAAUGUUAUUUGGUGUUUGCGUUGAGCAUGAAUAUGAUUUGAUCGUGUUUAUUGCAAUACAGUUAUUCAUUUAAGUAAGAGAAUAAACUGUUGUUCUGUUUACAUGAAUAAAACCUUAUAUGAUUACACACCCAAUGAAAAUGGUUCAUUGGAUCUCGAUCAUAGUGAUACACAUAUUCAUAAUAUUGAAACCAAAAGAUGCAAAGUUAAUAAUGAUAGUGCAACUUAUUUGUGGCACUGCCGUUUAGGUCAUAAUGGUGUAAAGCGCAUGAAGAAACUCCAUGCUGAUGGGAUUUUGGAAUCACUUGAUUAUGAAUCACUUGAUGCUUGCGAACCAUGCCUCAUGGGCAAGAUGACUAAGACUCCGUUCUCCGGAACAGUGGAGCGAGCAACUGACUUAUUGGAAAUAAUACAUACUGAUGUAUGCGAUCCAAUGAGUGUUAAGGCUCGCGGCGGGUAUCGUUAUUUUCUGACCUUCACAGAUGAUUUGAGCAGAUAUGGGUAUAUCUACUUGAUGAAACAUAAGUCUGAAAUAGUUGAAAGGUUCAAAGAAUUUCAGAGUGAAGUGGAAAAAUCAUCGUGACAAGAAAAUAAGGUUUCUACGAUCUGAUCGCGGAGACAAAUAUUGGAAUUACGAGUUUGGUCUUCAAUUAAAACAAUGUGGAAUAGUUUCACAAAUUCAUGCCACCUGGAACACCACAUCAUAAUGGUGUGUCCGAACGUCAUAACCGUACUUUAUUGGAUAUAGUACAAUCUAUGAUGUUUCUUACCGAUUUACCAAUAUCGUUUUGGGAUCAUGCAUUAGAGACAGCUGCAUUCACGUUAAAUAGGGCACCAUCUAAAUCCGUUGAGACGACACUAUAUGAACUGUGGUUUAGCAAGAAACCAAAGUUGUCGUUUCUUAAUGUUUGGGACUGCGAUGCUUAUGUGAAAAAGUUUCAUCCUGAUAAGCUCAAACCCAAAUCGGAGAAGUGCGCCUUCAUAGAAUACCCAAAGGAAAUUUUUGGGUACACCUUCUAUCAUAGAUCCGAAGGCAAAACAUUCGUUGCUAAUAAAUGGAUCCUUUCUAGAGAAGGAGUUUCUCUCGAAAGAAGUGAGUGAGAGGAAAGUAGAACUUGAUGAGGUAAUUGUACCUUCUCCCUUAUUGGAAAGUAGUUCAUCACAGAAAUCUGUUCCUGUGACUACUACACCAAUUAGUGAGGAAGCUAAUAAUGAUGAUCAUGUAACUUCAGAUCAAGUUACUACCGAAUCUCGUAGGUAAACCAGAGUGAGAUCCGCACCAAAGUGGUAUGGUAAUCCUGUUCUGGAGGUCAUGUUACUUGACCAUGACAAACCUACGAACUAUGAGGAAGCGAUGAUGAGCCCAGAUUCCGCGAAAUGGCUUGAGGCCAUGAAAUCUGAGAUGAGAUCCAUGUAUAAGAACAAAGUGUGGACUUUGGUGGAGUUGCCCGAUGAUCGGCAAGCCAUAGAAAAUAAAUGGAUCUUCAAGAGGAAGACGGACGCUGAUAGUAGUGUUACUAUCUACAAAGCUAGACUUGUCGAAAAAAGGUUUUUGACAAAGUUCAAGAUGUUGAAUACAAUGAGAUUUUCUCACUCGUAUCGAUGCUUAAAAGUCUGUCCGAAUCAUGUUAGCAAUUGCCGCAUUUUAUGAAAUCUGGCAAAUGGAUAAACAAAACUGCAUUCCUUGAUGGAGUUAUUAAAGAAGAGUUGUAUGUGAUGCAACCAAGAGGUUUUGUCGAUCCUAAAGGUGUUAACAAAAUGUGCAUCUAUGGACUGGUGCAAGCAUCUCGGAGUUGGAAUAUACGCUUUGAUAAGUUGAUCAAAGCAUAUAGUUUAUACAGACUUGCAGUGAAGCCUGUAUUUACUAGAAAGUGAGUGGGAGCACUACAUCAUUUCUGAUAAGUAUAUGUGAAUGACAUAUUGUAGAUCGGAAAUAAUGUAGAAUUAUUCUGCAAAGCAUAAAGGAGUGUUUGAAAGGAGUUUUUCAAAGAAAGACCUCGGUGAAGCUGCUUACAUAUUGAGCAUCAAGAUCUAUAGAGAUAGAUCAAAACGCUUGAUAAGUUUUUCAAUGAGUACAUACCUUGACAAGAUUUUGAAGUAGUUCAAAAUGGAACAGUCAAAGAAAGAGUUCUUGCCUGUGUUACAAGGUUUGAAAUUGAGUAAGACUCAAAACCCGACCACGGCAGAAGAUAGAAAGAGAAUGAAAGUCAUUCCCUAUGCCUUGGCCGUAGGUUCUAUAAAGUAUGCCAUGCUGUGUACCAGAUCUAUUGUAUGCCCUGCACUGAGUUUGGCAAGGGAGUGCAAUAGUGAUCUAGGAGUAGAUCACUGGACAGCGGUCAAACUUAUCCUUAGUGGAAUAAGGAUAUGUUUCUCGAUUAUGGAAGUGACAAAAGGUUCGUCGUAAAGGUUUACGUCGAUGCAAGUUUUGACACCGAUCUGGAUGACUCUAAGUCUCGAUCUAGAUACAUAUUGAAAGUGGGAGCAAUUAGCUAGAGUAGCUCCGUGCAGAGCAUUGUAGACAUAGAAAAUUGCAAAAUACAUAACGGAUCUGAAUGUGAAAAACCCGUUGACUAAGAUUCUCUCACAAGCAAAACAUGAUCACACCUUAGUAAUCUUUGGGUGUUAAUCACAUAGCGAUGUGAACUAGAUUACUGAAUCUAGUAAACCCUUUGGAUGUUGGUCACAUGGCGAUGUGAACUAUGGGUGUUAAUCACAUGAUGAUGUGAACUAUCGAUGUGAAUCACAUGGUGAUGUGAUCUAGAUUAUUGACUCUAGUGCAAGUGGGAGACUGGAGGAAAUAUGCCCUAGAGGCAAUAAUAAAGUUAUUAUUUAUUUCCUUAUAUCAUGAUAAAUGUUUAUUAUUCAUGCUAGAAUUGUAUUAACCGGAAACAUAAUACAUGUGUGAAUAUAUAGACAAACAGAGUGUCACUAGUAUGCCUCUACUUGACUAGCUUGUUAAUCAAAGAUGGUUAUGUUUCCUAACCAUGGACAAAGAGUUGUUAUUUGAUUAACGGGAUCACAUCAUUAGUUGAAUGAUCUGAUUGACAUGACCCAUUCCGUUAGCUUAGCACCCGAUCGUUUAGUAUGUUGCUAUUGCUUUCUUCAUGACUUAUACAUGUUCCUAUGACUAUGAGAUUAUGCAACUCCCAUUUACCGGAGGAACACUUUGUGUGCUACCAAACGUCACAACGUAACUGGGUGAUUAUAAAGGUGCUCUACAGGUGUCUCCGAAGGUACUUGUUGGGUUGGCGUAUUUCGAGAUUAGGAUUUGUCACUCCGAAUGUCGGAGAGGUAUCUCUGGGCCCUCUCGGUAAUGCACAUCACUUAAGCCUUGCAAGCAUUGCAACUGAUGAGUUAGUUGCGAGAUGAUGUAUUACGGAACGAGUAAAGAGACUUGCCGGUAACGAGAUUGAACUAGGUAUUGGAUACCGACGAUCGAAUCUCGGGCAAGUAACAUACCGAUGACAAAGGGAACAACGUAUGUUGUUAUGCGGUCUGACCGAUAAAGAUCUUCGUAGAAUAUGUAGGAACCAAUAUGGGCAUCCAGGUCCCGCUAUUGGUUAUUCACCGGAGACGUGUCUCGGUCAUGUCUACAUUGUUCUCGAACCGUAGGGUCCGCACGCUUAAGGUUUCGAUGACAGUUUAUUAUGAGUUUAUGAGUUUUGAUGUACCUAAGGAGUUCGGAGUCCCGGAUGAGAUCGGGGACAUGACGAGGAGUCUCAAAAUGGUCGAGACGUAAAGAUCGAUAUAUUGGACGACUAUAUUCGGAGUUCGGAAAGGUUCUGAGUGAUUCGGGUAUUUUUCGGAGUACCGGAGAGUUACGGGAAUUCGUAUUGGGCCUCUUUGGGCCAUACGGGAAAGGAGAGAAAGGGCCAAAAGGGUGGCCGCACCCCUCCCCUUGGACUAGUCCGAAUUGGACUAGGGAGGGGGGGCGCCCCCUUCCUUCCUUCUCCUUCUCUCUUCCCUUUCCUUCUCUCCUACUCCUACUACAUGGAAGGGUUCCUAGUUGGACUAGGAAAGGGGGAAUACUACUCCCGGUGGGAGUAGGACUCCCCUAGGGCGCGCCAUAGAGAGGGUCGGCCCUCCCCUCCUCCACUCCUUUAUAUACGGGGGCAGGGGGCACCCCAUGGACACACAAGUUGAUCAUUGAGAUCGUUCCUUAGCCGUGUGCGGUGCCCCCCUCCACGAUAUUCCACCUCGAUCAUAUUGUUGCGGUGCUUAGGCGAAGCCCUGCGACAGGAGAACAUCAAGAUCGUCACCACGCCGUCGUGCUGACGGAACUCCCCCUCGGAACCUCUACUGGAUUGGAGAUCGAGGGUGCGUCAUCGAGCUGUACGUGUGUCAAGAACUCGGAGGUGCCGGAGUAACGGUGCUUGGAUCUGUUGGACCGGGAGGACGUACGACUACUUCCUCUACGUUGCGUCAACGCUUCCGCUUCGGUCUACGAGGGUACGUAGACAACACUCUCCCCUCUCGUUGCUAUGCAUCACCAUGGUCUUGCAUGUGCGUAGGAAAUUUUUUGAAAUUACUACGUUCCCCAACAAUUGGGCCACACAUUCAGCAAUAAAGUGGCCCUUGUCCCCACAUCGAUAGCAAAUCAUCCUCUCCUUCUUACGGGCAUACUUGGAAGCCCUCUCAGCAUCAGACAUGUCGGUGGCCUCAUCCACCGUCCCAGCCUCAGAAACGUCAACAUUGGCCAACUCCUUUACCACCUCCUUCGCCUGUGGAGGUAGCUCUGAGGAAUGCUGAGUCUCAUCCGUAGCAUCAGAAUGAACUGUCACCCUAGGUGGUUGUGGGCGACGAAAUCUCCCACGACCCCAAGUCCGACCACCUCUGUUACCACGAAAACCUCCUCUUUGAUGAUGAUCCGGGCCGGAUGCCCCCUCAACAAACCCGCCGGCCGGCCCUAGAAAGGGUCUCUCGGUCGAACCGUCACUCUGCCAAACGUAGCCACGGCCUCCUCCCGUUGACGAGGAGCCGCGGUGAUGUCCCUCACCGUAUGCAUCGUAGCCGUCAUCCCCCCACUGGCCUCGGGGAGGAGCAUUAGACUGAGUGGACCUGUUUUGCACCGGCCUAGCAACAUAGUGUGGUGGUGGUUUUCCCGUGGUUGCCGGCGCACUUCCAGCCUGGCGUUGACCAGCGUCGCGGCCAGCCGGCCCAUUGCCAGCAGUACUCGGCACCUGGGGUCUAGGUCCCCCUAGACCGGCAGCUUGUGGGGCAGGGGGCGGCGCCGCUGUAGCCCUCCCUACCCCCCGGCCUGCAGAAUUCGCCACGGGCGCCAAGAACGGAGCCUUCGGCCUCAAGCCACCCCUCGCAAGGGCCGGCUGCGGAUGGGAUGUCCCCGGCGGCGGCGCCCCCCCGGUAGGUGCACCUCGACCCGCGACCCCAGCCGCUCCGCCACCUCCCGCCGGCGGCCUCUGGCCGACCUGCGUCUGACCCCCACGUCCGGUGGUCGCUGCCGGCGGUGGAGCCACUCCUCCCCGACCUGCAGCAGCCGACAGGGAUCGUUUCACCGGCGGAGGAGCAUCCCCUCGACCUGCCAUGGCGGGCCAGGGUUGGAUGUGCCGCGCUCGUCUAUCUCCGCAAGACGGGAACCCCCUCGUACCUGAUUUGCGAACCCUAGACGGCGGCAAGGGAGCGACAGACACAACACGAUCAACGUACGUGCAUGCGCCUUCCACAGGACGGACCGACCGGACGUCGCACUCCUGGGCCACAUACCCGUUGGAGGCCGCACGCUCCAGGCCCGCAUCAGCACCCCCAUGAUGGGCCUCAUGCCCAUUCAUGCUCUGGACACCGGCCCGUACCCUACCGGCCCACUCAGAGCCAAGUAGCGAUUUCAAACGAUCGGACCUGGCCGCCCUGAUCUCGUCGGCCGCCCAGGUCGCCAGCGGCGGAGGUGCUAGAUCUGGCCUCCCCCCCUUCUUCCUCUUCUUUCGAAUAACCAUGUUCCAAUCCUCUACAGGAAAAAAAUCGGACAAAGUAAUUGGUUGAACGCAUACCUUAGGCAAAGGCCCUUUCCAUGGUCGGAUCGCCGUCGCUGCCGUCCUCCGGUGUAUAAUCCGGCGAACCACCUCCACUCGAUCGGUAGAAUGCAGACCUAGCCGCGCCGGAUCAUCUCCCGGCACGAUUUCAUCUACCAACGCAGCAACAUCUUCCUCCGAAUAUCCAGGAUUGAACGCCUCGCAGAUCACGUCCGAUGGUGUUGGCGAAUACUCCGGCACCGGAUCGUCUUCGUCCUCCUCAUCUUCCGAGUCCGCUAGGGCCCAGAAUCGACCCCCCACCCGAGCACUAGUAGAAAACCACCAAUCAGUCCCGGUUCAUAAGGGCCUUUAGUCCCGGUUCGGGAACCGGGACUAAUGGGUCGUUACUAAUACCUCAACCCAUUAGUCCCGGUUCAAACACGAACCGGGACCAAUGUGCCUCCACGUGGCCCUGUGCGCCGAGCCCAGUCAGGGGGCCUUUGGUCCCGGUUGGUGGCUCCAACCGGGACCAAAAGGCGUCCACGUGUCUGCAUUCCAGUGGCCUGAGUUUCUUUUUGAAAGGAGGGGGGUUGGGGGGUUUUGGGGGGUUUUGGGGGGUUAAUUUAGGUGUUUCGUAUAUUGUGUUAGCUAGCUAAUUAAUAGAGAGAAGUGUCCUCUCUUAAUUAUGUCCGUGCUUGCUCGACGCUACGUAGUAUAUAUACAUAAGUGAUCGAGAGAACCAUUCAGUACAGAAGUUCGUCAUGCAUACCGAGAGAAGUGAUCGAUCGACCUCUCCUUCUCCGAGAGAUUGGUCGAACAACAAGUUUUACUGGCUACAUACAUGUACAAUCUAUAUAAGAUCUCUUAAUUACAAACCACUAGCAUUUGAAUUCAAGUUCCACAUGGUAUUCUCCGGCUUUACUGAUGACGUGUUCAAGAAAGAAUCCCGCCAAUUCCUCUUGAAUUGCUUUCAUGCGAUCUGGUUCUAGGAGUUCAUCCCGCAUCUGCCACGUCUAAUUAAUUUGAAGAAGGGGCUUAAUUAAUACAUAUAUAUGAAUGAAACUCAACAGAAAUGAUGGUGUAAUAAAAUGAAAUUGUGAAUAUUAUUGCUUACGCACUUCAUAUUGUCUUCUAGAGUAGCCCCGCUUGUUUUUCAAUGUCGCGUUGUGGAUGAACUCGCACACGUAGUAUCCACAGAAAUCAUUCCCUUCCUCCUGCCACAAGCACUUUACGAGAAAUAGAGGUCAAUCAAACUGAUAAUGAAGCAUUAUAUAAAUGGCAUUGAUGAAAGUAUAGCUAUAGAAUCAAUGGGAGAUGCGCGCCAGUAGUACUUACUUUCGGGUAUGUAUAUCGCAGCUCCUUCGGCAGUCCCGGAGCUUGUGCGGUGAAAUGUUUCCAAACCCUGCAAGACAAAGAAAAUAUUUGUUAUUACUUGAGAUAUCAGGAAAUGAACAAAAAGUUGCCGAUAUGGUGCGAUAAUGAUCGAUUGAACUUACUUGCUGAGCAUUUCAGUCAUGUCCGCAUAGGUGUUGGGAUCUUUCCGUCUGGAGUCUAAGACGGUUACUAGUCCACGCUCAAGCUUAAUCUCCAGAAGAAUAUAGUGGUACCUACACGCAUGCAUAACUCAUCAAUUACAUUAACCUCGCUCGAGUAAUAAGGAAAACCGAAUAUGCACACGACAGUAACACUCACGGGCCGUGGUAAGGAAAGAGUAUGGUAUCUUUGUUUUGAUUUUUUAUCAAUGAUUGUAGCAAGUUGUCCUCGGCCUCUUCGGCGCGCUUUUUAACCAGAAAAACAUCUAUGAUAUUUGUGUUAAUGAACCCAAUAUCAUAGAUUUCAUUUUUUUUGCACUCGACGAUCUUCAAUCUGCAUAAUAUAUUGAGGAUAAUUAAUUAUAAAUACAUGCAAUGAAAGAGCCGAGCUAUAUAUACAGACUAAUAACAGAAAUAGUACUUACAGGCAGUAGAAAAAGACCAUUAAUUUAUCGAGGGCCUUUUGAUUGAAGAACUCGAAGAACUCCUCAAAUGGAAUAGACAACAGAUCAUUUGAAACGAGGUCGUGCUCCUCUUUAAUUUUCAGAUACAAAGUGUUCGUCCCCUCAGACUCUCUGCAGGUUUUCAUGUACCAACUGUGGAAUCUUCGCAUCAUUGUUGUCAGAGACUUUUCAUCUUUGACGAGAGGCUUCCCGUACUCGUAUCUGAAUAAGUCCACCUCCAUGAAAUCAGGAAGUGCAUCGUCAGGCAGGUAAUCUUCAAGAUUGCCAUAACCGGCCACCGUCCCCGGAGGAUUAGACACAUUCAGCGGGGGGCACGAUUGCUGUGCUUGUUCGCCGAGCUGGGCAAUUUUUUUCCCCUUUGCCCGUUGUUCUUUUAACCUUUUAUCAGUGACAGUAGUUCCCGACCGCUUGGCUUGGAGAUAUGUCUGUUCAGUAAUGCGCUCAUAGUUGGUUCUCGGCGGAGACUUUGGUGGUUUCCUCAGGGCAUCGAGAGUGUGCUUUGCUUUCACCGGAUCGACCUUCUCCUCCGGAGGUGGAUGUAUCUUUGCUUUAACCCCUUCAAAGAACUCCUUCACUUGGGUCUGCACGAUCGUAUCGUUUUCCUCCUUGCUCCUCUCAUACGGUAACUUCUCUACAGGCUUUAGAGGUGGACCGUAUCUGUAUUGCCUCUCUCUUCUUGUGCUGCUAGACGCCGGAGCAGACGGAGCGGCUGCGGCGUCUGUCUUCCUUCGUGCUUGCUUACGAGGCGGAGGAGAAGGACUAUGACGCGUCGGAGCAGCCGGGGCGGCGGCGGGUCUCUUCCGCCCUUGCUGGCGAGGCGGAGAAGGAGGAGGCGGAGUGCCGCCACGCGCCGGAGAAGGGGGCGGAGUGCCGCCACGCGUGCCCUGAUCUUCACUCGCCGGAGGAGGAGGCGGUGGAGGAGGCGGAGUGCCGCCAUGCGUGCCCUGAUCGUCACUCGCCGGAGGAGGAGGCGGUGGAGGAGGCGGAGUGCCCUGACUCGCCAGAUGAGGAGGAGGAGGCGGAGGCGUCCAGUUCAGAAGGUCGAUGAGCUCCUUCCGCCAUAGGCAUGGAGUCUUCAGAGCAGAACCCAGCCUAGUCUCCCCUUCACCGGUAGGGUGCUCAAGCGCGAGGUCCUCAAAUCCCUCCGUUAUUUCAUCAACCAUCACCUUAGCAAAUCCUUCUGGAAUCGGCUGGCAGUGAUAAGUUGUGCCGGGUCCACUAGGAUAAACUUGGCCAACAGCCGCCUUGACCUUCAAAUUCAUGCAUCGCGCCAUAAUGUGGCAAUUUUGAGACUCCGUGAUACCAUCCACGGGAUAGCUGGCAGGAGCCGUCAAGACAUGCUCCGGCUGAAGCAGCUCGGUGGAAGCAACGCUGCUUCUGCGCUGAGAUGGCGGGGUAGCUUCGGGGGAAGCUUCGGCAUGUCGUUUGUUGCGAUCUGCUGCUUCUCGUUCCUCUUCUCGAUCCUCUAGCCCCAUUACCCUUCCAAGCAGCGCCUGCAUUUGGUCAUGCUCCACUUUCUUCCUCCUCUCGUGGGUUUUGUAACCCCCUGCGUCCGGAAAACCAACCUUCCACGGAAGCGAGCCUGGCGUGCCUCGUGUCCGUCCAGGGUGCUCGGGAUUCCCAAGGGCCAUUGUGAGCUCGUCCUUCUCCCUGUUUGGAAGGAACAUCCCUCGCUGCGCAGCAUCAAUAUAUUGUCGAAGUUUCUUGACUGGUGUUUGCAGUUGCUCGUUCGUCCACUGACACUGUCCUGUUACAGGGUCCAAGGUUCCGCCAGCCCCGAAGAACCAAGUCCGGCAACGGUCUGGCCAGCGCAUCGUCUCUGGUUCGAUCCCUUUUUCAAGCAGAUCAUGCUCAGCCUUGGACCACUUAGGCCGGGCUUUGAGGUAGCCACCUGACCCCGUGCGAUGGUGAAGCGUCUUCUUCGCAGCAUUUUUCUUGUUUGUCUCCGACAUCUUCUUACUCUUUUCCGAUGUCUUGUGGGCCACAAAUGCGGGCCAGUGAUCUUUGAUCUUCUCAUAUUUGCCGAUGAAUUCUGGUGUCUCUUUUUUCUUGACAAACUGGUUCAGCUCUUUCCUCCACCUCCUCAUUAGGCCAGCCAUCUUCUUAAGAGCACAAGACUUGAUUAAUUGCUCUUUAACUGGCUUCUCCGGAUCCUCCUCUGGCGGUAGGGUGAAAUUUGCCUUCAGCUCAUUCCAAAGAUCUUCUUUCUGCAUAUCAUUGACAUAAGACACCUCAGCGACUUCAUCCUUAGCAGGCUUAUACCAUUGCUGGAUGCUGAUCGGGAUCCUGUCCCUAACAAGAACCCCGCACUGAGCAGAAAAUGCCUUCUUUGUCCGGAUGGGUUCAAUCGGUUCGCCGUCGGGCGCGAUUUCUAUGAUCUCAAACUUUUCAUCCGAGCUCAACUUUUUCUUCGGGCCUCGUCUCCUUACCGAAGUUGUGCUCGAUCCGGAGGGCUAGAAAUUAUAAGGAAGAAAGACGACAGUACUUAAUAUGUGUACAUAUACCAAAACAAUGGAUGCAUCAAUUAACUUGUCAGCACGGGCUUAACUAAUAUAUAUAUACCUGGCCGGACUCGGUUCGGUGACUCGGCUCGGCACAGUCUCCUUCGUCUUGUACCUCCAUUGUGUCACCGGAGCCAUCAUGAACAUAGUCCUCCUCUUGUGCCGGCAUUAAUGAGUCGAAGCCAUCAUAAUCAUAGCCCUCUUCUUCAUCCAUCUGACCAACGGUGUCGAUGAGAAAUGACACAACAUCAUCACUUCCAUUUGCGAUUAUUUCCCCCAACAUCGCUUCUGUUUCUUCGUCUCGGGAGUGCUCCAUAGUUUCUGCAAAUAUUGACAACAUGUCAAUUAUUAUUCAAACAUGGUACAUACUGCCAAACCUAGAACUAGCUAGCUAAUCACAAUAAGGAAUCAUGUUAGUGGCAUCGACGCUGCUUCUCUAGGGUUUGGGGUCGCCUCGACACAAAGCUUCAAGGGUUUGGGGUGGCCUCGACGAUAACGCUCUUUUAACUUGAUAAAUUUGGGUGGCCUCGAUCGAGAGAGUUAAUUUGUCGGGUAGGAGCGCAGCGGGAGGGGGUACGUAGGAGACCUGCAACAUCGUUUUCUCUCUAGGGUUUGGGCGUCCUCGAGAGUUUUGGUCGAGCGAGAGGGCCGAGGGGGGUGCUGCAGUUGUAUCUAGAGGGGGUUAAUUAUAUCGACAACGACGCGACAUACAUAUACAUAUCGGGGAGGGGGUAUCGGUACCACCCCCUCGUGUUGAAGUUUCUUCUUUCUCCUUUCCUUUCUUUCUUCUUCUCCUCUUCUUUUUCUUCUUCUCCCUCGAGAAAGGAAAAUAAUUAAGGAAAAGGAAGAAAAGAGGAAGAAGGAAGAAGGAAGAAGAAGAAGAAGUAAAAGAAGAAAAAAAAGAGGAGAAGAAGAAAGGAAUAGAGGAGAAGAAGAAAAAAUAGAAUUUCUCCUUUCUCCUCUAUUCCUUUCUUCUUCUCCUCUUCUUUUUCUUCUUUUUUCCUCUUCUUAUUUAUUUCUCCUCUUCUUCCUCUCCUCUUUUUCUCCUUUCUUCCUCUUCUUAUUUUCCUUUUCCCUCUCAUUCUUUUAGUAUUGCUUGUUUUAAAAAAAAUGUUCAAAUAGAAAAUUCCAAAAAAAAAACAAAGGUUUUGCCUAAUGCAUUGUUCAUAUGAAUAUACCAACAUUUGCAUAUUCUACAAUAAUUAAUAUCAACAAAAAAAUCUAUGAACAGAAAAAAAAACGAACUUUUCUAAAAAUCUAUCUUUUGCAUAUAUAUAGCCACAUAUGAACAGAGCCGCAUAUAUACANNNNNNNNNNNNNNNNNNNNNNNNNNNNNNNNNNNNNNNNNNNNNNNNNNNNNNNNNNNNNNNNNNNNNNNNNNNNNNNNNNNNNNNNNNNNNNNNNNNNNNNNNNNNNNNNNNNNNNNNNNNNNNNNNNNNNNNNNNNNNNNNNNNNNNNNNNNNNNNNNNNNNNNNNNNNNNNNNNNNNNNNNNNNNNNNNNNNNNNNNNNNNNNNNNNNNNNNNNNNNNNNNNNNNNNNNNNNNNNNNNNNNNNNNNNNNNNNNNNNNNNNNNNNNNNNNNNNNNNNNNNNNNNNNNNNNNNNNNNNNNNNNNNNNNNNNNNNNNNNNNNNNNNNNNNNNNNNNNNNNNNNNNNNNNNNNNNNNNNNNNNNNNNNNNNNNNNNNNNNNNNNNNNNNNNNNNNNNNNNNNNNNNNNNNNNNNNNNNNNNNNNNNNNNNNNNNNNNNNNNNNNNNNNNNNNNNNNNNNNNNNNNNNNNNNNNNNNNNNNNNNNNNNNNNNNNNNNNNNNNNNNNNNNNNNNNNNNNNNNNNNNNNNNNNNNNNNNNNNNNNNNNNNNNNNNNNNNNNNNNNNNNNNNNNNNNNNNNNNNNNNNNNNNNNNNNNNNNNNNNNNNNNNNNNNNNNNNNNNNNNNNNNNNNNNNNNNNNNNNNNNNNNNNNNNNNNNNNNNNNNNNNNNNNNNNNNNNNNNNNNNNNNNNNNNNNNNNNNNNNNNNNNNNNNNNNNNNNNNNNNNNNNNNNNNNNUGUGGCGAUGAACUGCAAAACUGCAAAAUGCCACUUAUAUACAAGGAGCAUUGGUCCCGGUUGGUGGCACCAACCGUGACUAAUGCCACCUUUAGUCCCGGUUGGAGCCACCAACCGGGACCAAAAGCCUCAAUUUCGGCAGCCCAAAGGGCGGGAAGCUGCGGCCUUUGGUCCCGGUUGGUGGCUCUAACCGGGACUAAAGCCCCCCCUUUAGUCCCGGUUGGUGCCACCAACUGGGACCAAAGGCCCCUGCGCUGCCCGCGUCGGGGCCAAAGUUUAGUCCCACCUCGCUAGUUGAGAGGGGAGCGCAGUGGUUUAUAAGCCCCACUGCCGCUCCCCUCUUGAACUCCUUUGUACUGCAGGCUUAUGGGCCUACUUGCUACUUCGUUGCCUGUUGGACCUUCUGGGCCUUCUGCGGGCCUGAAUCCUGGCCCGAAAUAGGGAUACAAGUCGUAUUCAGGCCGUGGCGGCCCAGUAGGUGGCAUUUUUUUUCUUACUUUAUUUAAUUUAUUUUGUUUCUACUUACAACAAAAUACUUAUUGUUGUUUUUUUGUUUUGUUUUCUGCAUUAUUUAUUUUCUUUUGUUUUUUCUCUAUUUUUUAAAUCUUUUUGCUUCUAGUUUUAGGAAAAUUAUAAACUUUCUGUUAGUGCCAUUACUAAUUUUCAAAUUUGAAAACACUUUUUUUUUGUUUUCUUUCUUGCUUUAUUUAAUUUAUUUUGUUUCUACUUACAACAAAAUACUUAUUGUUGUUUGUUUGUUUUGUUUUCUGCAUUANNNNNNNNNNNNNNNNNNNNNNNNNNNNNNNNNNNNNNNNNNNNNNNNNNNNNNNNNNNNNNNNNNNNNNNNNNNNNNNNNNNNNNNNNNNNNNNNNNNNNNNNNNNNNNNNNNNNNNNNNNNNNNNNNNNNNNNNNNNNNNNNNNNNNNNNNNNNNNNNNNNNNNNNNNNNNNNNNNNNNNNNNNNNNNNNNNNNNNNNNNNNNNNNNNNNNNNNNNNNNNNNNNNNNNNNNNNNNNNNNNNNNNNNNNNNNNNNNNUGCAUUAUUUAUUUUCUUUUGUUUUUUGCUUUAUUUUUUAAUUCUUUUUGCUUUUAGUUUUAGCAAAAAUUAUAAACUUUCUGUUAGUGCCAUUACUUUUCAAAUUUGAAAACACAUUUUUUUGUUUUCUUUCUUGCUUUAUUUAUUUUAUUUUGUUUCUACUUACAACAAAAUACUUAUUGUUGCUAUUUUUAAUUAUUACGAGGGCCGAACCAUAAGACAUUUCAAAUGAACUCUGAAAAAGUUGAAAGUUGGCAUGGUAUCAUAAAUUGACCCACACAUAGCAUGUGCAUGUACAAAACGAACAAUGGUAUCAUACUCAUCAGUUACAAUGGUAUCAUAAACGAACAAUAGUUGCGGGAGAAAGUCUUCACUUUUUCUUCGCUUGCGUCAUUUGCUUAUUGCGCCGUAACCAUGGAUAAUCUUCAUCGUUUAUCAGGAUGCUGGGGUCAGCCUUGACUUUAAAGGGAGGAAUUUCAUGAAACUUUUCAUAAUCUUCAGACAUGUCUGUCUUGUCCUCCACUCCCACGAUGUCCCUUUUUCCUGAAAGAACUAUGUGGCGCUUUGGCUCAUCGUAUGAUGUAUUUGCUUCCUUAUCUUUUCUCUUUCUCGGUCUACUGGACAUGUCCUUCACAUAGAUAACCUGUGCCACAUCAUUGGCUAGGACGAACGGUUCGUCAGUGUACCCAAGAUUUUUCAAGCGUGCCUUUUCCAGUCAGUCUCCCCUCAUACCGCGAUUUAGGGAGACCUAUCUUCUUAAGGCCAGGAAUGAAGUCAACACAAAACCCGAUGACAUCCUCUGUUUGAUGGCCCAUGGAGAUGCUUCCUUCUGGCCUAGCGCGGUUACGGACAUAUUUCUUUAGGACUCCCAUGAACCUCUCAAAGGGGUACAUAUUGUGUAGAAAUACAGGGCCCAGAAUGACAAUCUCGUCAACUAGAUGAACAAGAACGUGUGUCAUGAUAUUGAAGAAGGAUGGUGGGAACACCAGCUCGAAACUGACAAGACAUUGCACCACAUCACUCCUUAGCCUUGGUAUGGUUUCUGGAUCGAUCACCUUCUGAGAUAUUGCAUUGAGGAAUGCACAUAGCUUCACAAUGGCUAAUCGGACGUUUUCCGGUAGAAGCCCCCUCAAUGCAACCGGAAGCAGUUGCGUCAUAAUCACGUGGCAGUCAUGAGACUUUAGGUUCUGAAACUUUUUCUCUGCCAUAUUUAUUAUUCCUUUUAUAUUCGACGAGAAGCCAGUCGGGACCUUCAUACUAAGCAGGCAUUCAAAGAAGAUUUCCUUCUCUUCUUUGGUAAGAGCAUAGCUGGCAGGACCUUCAUACUGCUUUGGAGGCAUGCCGUCUUUUUCGUGCAAACGUUGCAGGUCCUCUCGUGCCUCAGCUGUAUCUUUUGUCUUCCCAUACACGCCCAAGAAGCCUAGCAGGUUCACGCAAAGGUUCUUCGUCACGUGCAUCACGUCGAUCGAAGAGCGGACCUCUAGGUCUUUCCAGUAGGGUAGGUCCCAAAAUAUAGAUUUCUUCUUCCACAUGGGUGCGUGUCCCUCAGCGUCACUCGGAACAGCUAGUCCGCCGGGACCCUUUCCAAAGAUUACGUGUAAAUCAUUGACCAUAGCAAGUACGUGAUCACCGGUACGCAUGGCGAGCUUCUUCCGGUGAUCUGCCUCGCCUUUGAAAUGCUUGCCUUUCUUUCGACAUUGAUGGUUGGUCGGAAGAAAUCGACGAUGGCCCAGGUACACAUUCUUCCUGCAGCUUGCCAGGUAUAUACUAUCAGUGUCAAGUAAACAGUGCGUGCAUGCGUGGUAUCCCUUGUUUGUCUGUCCUGAAAGGUUACUGAGAGCGGGCCAAUCGUUGAUGGUCACGAACAGCAACGCCUUUAAGUUAAAUUCCUCCUGUUUGUGCUCAUCCCACGUACGUACACCGUUUCCAUUCCACAGCUGUAAAAGUUCUUCAACUAAUGGCCUUAGGUACACAUCAAUGUCAUUGCCGGGUUGCUUAGGACCUUGGAUGAGAACUGGCAUCAUAAUGAACUUCCGCUUCAUGCACAUCCAAGGAGGAAGGUUAUACAUACAUAGAGUCACGGGCCAGGUGCUGUGAUUGCUGCUCUGCUCCCCGAAAGGAUUAACGCCAUCCGCGCUUAAAGCAAACCAUACGUUCCUUGGCUCACUUGCAAACUCAUCCCAGUACUUUCUCUCGAUUUUUCUCCACUGCGACCCGUCAGCCGGUGCUCUCAACUUCCCGUCUUUCUUACGGUCCUCACUGUGCCAUCGCAUCAACUUGGCAUGCUCUCCGUUUCUGAACAGACGUUUCAACCGUGGUAUUAUAGGAGCAUACCACAUCACCUUCACAGGAACCCUCUUCCUGGGGGGCUCGCCGUCAACAUCACCAGGGUCAUCUCGUCUGAUCUUAUACCGUAAUGCACCGCAUACCGGGCAUGCGUUCAGAUCCUUGUACGCACCGGGGUAGAGGAUGCAGUCAUUAGGGCAUGCAUGUAUCUUCUGCACCUCCAAUCCUAGAGGGCAUACGACCUUCUUUGCUGCGUAUGUACUGUCGGGCAAUUCGUUAUCCUUUGGAAGCUUCUUCCUCAAUAUUUUAAGUAGCUUCUCAAAUCCUUUAUCAGGCACAGCAUUCUCUGCCUUCCACUGCAGCAAUUCCAGUACGGUACCUAGCUUUGUGUUGGCAUCUUCGCAAUUGGGGUACAACCCUUUUUUGUGGUCCUCUAGCAUGCGAUCGAACUUCAGCUUCUCUUUUUGACUUUCGCAUUGCGUCCUUGCAUCGACAAUGACCCGGCGGAGAUCAUCAUCAUCGGGCACAUCAUCUGGUUCCUCUUGAUCUUCAGCAGCUUCUCCCGUUGCAGCAUCAUCGUGCACAUCGUCUGGUUCCUCUUGAUCUUCUGGAGCAUCACCGUAUUCAGGGGGCACAUAGUUGUCAUCGUACUCUUCUUCUUCGCCGUCUUCCACCAUAACCCCUAUUUCUCCGUGCCUCGUCCAAACAUUAUAGUGUGGCAUGAAACCCUUGUAAAGCAGGUGGGUGUGCAGGAUUUUCCGGUCAGAGUAAGACUUCGUAUUCCCACAUAUAGGGCAUGGACAACACAUAAAACCAUUCUGCUUGUUUGCCUCAGCCACUUCGAGAAAAUUAUGCACGCCCUUAAUGUACUCGGAGGUGUGUCUUGAACCGUACAUCCAUUGCCGGUUCAUCUGUGUGCAUUAUAUAUAAUUAAGUGUGUCAAAAAUCAUUAGAGAGAUCAUGAAUAGAUAAUUAAUUAAGUGACCAAAUUAAUAGAAGUUCAUCAUCACAUUAAAACCAAAGUACAUACAUAGUUCUCAUCUAACAACAUAAAUCUCUGCAGAGCAUCUAAAUUAAUUAAACCAUACACUGAAACUAUGUAAAACAUUUCAAUGCGAAAACAAAUGCGAUCAUAAUCAUAACCAAUGUAACAACUGAUCCAACGACAUAAUGAUACCAAGCCUCGGUAUGAAUGGCAUAUUUUCUAAUCUUUCCAAUCUUCAAGCGCAUUGCAUCCAUCUUGAUCUUGUGAUCAUCGACGACAUCCGCAACAUGCAACUCCAAUAUCAUCUUCUCCUCCUCAAUUUUUCUAAUUUUUUCCUUCAACAAAUUGUUUUCUUCUUCAACUAAAUUUAACCUCUCGACAAUAGGGUCGGUUGGAAUUUCCGGUUCAACAACCUCCUAGAUGAAUAAAAUCUAUGUCACGUUGGUCGGCAUAAUUGUCAUAAAUAAUAAAUGAACCAAUAGUUAUGAAAAGAUAAUAUAUACCACAUCCGAAUCAUAGACAGGACGAGGGCCGACGGGGGCGGAUACCAAAACCAUCGCACUAUAUAAGAUGCAAUAAUAAAAGUAAGAAAAUUAUACAAGUAUAUAUCUAUCUAAACAUACAAAUAAGAAUAUUUUUCCUUUCGGAAAUAAGAUAAGAACAAGAGGCUCACCACGGUGGUGCCGCCAAUGAGAUCGGUGCGGGUGAUCGACGACGUUGAAGACGGGGAUGGGGCGUGACGGACCGCUAAACCUAGACAAAUAUGGAGGAAAAUGGAGCUUGACGGUCGAGCUUGGAGAGGAGAAACCUUAAGUAGUGUGGCUCGGGCAUUCCAUCGAACACCUUGUGUGCAUAUGAGGUGAGCUAGAGCACCACCAAGCCCUCUCCCCCUCGGCCAGAAAAAACAGAGCAGUGUGCUCUGCUCUUGCGCGAGGGGGUAUAUAUAGGCACCACCAUUGGUCCUGGUUGGUCGCACGAACCGGGACUAAAGGGUUGCCUUUGGUCCCGGUUCAUGCCACCAACCGGGACCAAUGGUGGUGGGCCAGGAGCGAGGACCAUUGGUCCCGGUUCAUCCCACCAACCGGGACCAAAAGGUCCAGACGAACCGGGACCAAUGGCCCACGUGGCCCGGCCGGCCCCCGGGGCUCAUGAACCGGGUCCGAUGCCCCCAUUGGUCCCGGUUCUGGAUUGAACCGGGACUAAUGGGCUGGACCGGCCUGGACCAUUGCCCCCUUUUCUACUAGUGCCUGUACAGGAAAAAAAUCGGACAAAGUAAUUGGUUGAACGCAUACCUUAGGCAAAGGCCCUUUCCAUGGUCGGAUCGCCGUCGCCGCCGUCCUCCGGUGUACAAUCCGGCUAACCACCUCCACUCGAUCGGUAGAAUGCAGACCUAGCCGCGCCGGAUCAUCUCCCGGCACGAUUUCAUCUACCAACGCAGCAACAUCUUCCUCCGAAUAUCCAGGAUUGAACGCCUCGCAGAUCACGUCCGAUGGUGUUGGCGAAUACUCCGGCACCGGAUCGUCUUCGUCCUCCUCAUCUUCCGAGUCCGCUAGCGCCCAGAAUCGACCCCCCACCCGAGCUUCGAUCAUAUCCGGUGACUUCCGUCGGUGGCCGGCGACGGUCGCCCCGGGAUCGCGGCGAGUCGCCCCUUUAAAAUGGAAACAUCUACGUGCACACAUAGGAAACACCUGCACCUUCCUUUAAUUCCUCCUCCUUUCCUAUUCCUCUCCGCUGGCCAUCUCCCCAACGAACGCCUCGUCUCCUUCCCUUCCUCUUUACGCUAGCACCUACGGGAAGAUAAACGUACACGAAGAGAAACUGCCAAGCACUCACGCAAGAAGCUGCCUCCUGUCCUCCUCCAUAAUUCCCAUAAGUGUCCACCGUUUCCAAAACUGAAGGUACAGGGACCUGCACCUCAAUCUCCUCCCUCGUUUCCCUUGGCCCUCUGCCAUCUCUCUUCUCCAUCCUGCCAGAGAACUCCUCUCAAAGAAACAGUGUUCCAUGGACGUCGGUCCUCGAUUCUGAUGAAGGAGACCAUCCCAGUCCAUGCCCUUGCGCCAAAAGGUUCUCCUUCAUGCGUUGAAUCCAUUCAGGGAAGAAAGAACAUGGUCCGUCAAGCACACACGAAGAAUUCUGCAUGUCCGCGUACACUGUUCAUCAAGUUCGUCGCACCAUUCCAUCAAACUCGGUGUGCCUCUAUCAAAUUUCUUUUGCACGCAUACUCAUCAUCAUCUACUCUAUCUCAUAGACAUGAUCAUUCGACUCAUCUAUGUCGUUGCUCGCGCCGAUGCCAUCGGCAUGUCCGCGUACUUUUUAGUUCAUCGGAUAAUCUUGUGUUCAACAUAUGAUUUGUUUCUCGUACCCGUAGUAUCCCCAUGGUGGAGUUAGAUCGCUAGUUUUAUCAAUAGGAUUUUAGUAUACAUUUUGUUAUAGCCAUUCUUGCCCAAGAUUGAAUGGAGUUUGUUCGUCGGCUAAAUUUUAUAUUAAUUUGUUAUUGUUCUUAUGUUUGCGAUAUGCCUAGAAGUGCAUCCUAGUGGUCUCAUAAUUUUUGCGUGUGAUAAAUGGCUUAUUAGAGUUAUUGUUUAUUGUUUACCGAUUAUAGUUUUUGUUGUCGCAAGUUGAUAAUUUUUUGUAUUGUUAUUGACUUGUGUUAGACAUGUCUAUAGAUAUUGAGUAUAGUCUGAUAUGUUUUUAUGUAGAUAAUUUCUUGUAUCAUGUAGUAGUGUGAGACGCUUUUGUAAUAGCUAUUGUGAAUUAUCAUCACGAGUAGUAGUUGAUCGGUGAACUUUUGUGUUAAUUUUAUAUGUUCGGGAUAUAGUUAGGAGUGUAUGCUAGUUAUCUCAUAAUUUUGUGUGUGGCAUGUGACAUGUUAAAUUUAUUGUUUACCGAUUAUAUUUUGUUUAAAAUAAGUUUUGCAUGCUAUUUCCACUUGACAAUUUGGUGUAUUGUGUAUAGUCCUCUUUUAUGCUUGCGUACAACAUUUGGUGAAUGCUCAACAUGCUUAUAUUUAUGUGGAAUUAUUCUAAGUUUUGCUUUAUGUAUCUAAUCGUGAAAUACUUCAUGUUUCAUUUAGUUUAGUUCAUUCACUAGCAUGAAGAUAUCUUAGGUAUAUUUUAUAUAUUGACUUCACCUUUGUUGCAUGUGUAUUUGUCGGCUCUUUUUAUCAUAUCAUGCGAUACUCUAGGUGAUGUUUAUUUAAAUUAUUUGUGUUACCUAGUUUUGCUACUAGUGGUUAUGAAAAGUGGUAUGUUAUCGACCAUAGUCAUAGUACUUGUUGUAGGUCUAUUGUUUGCGUUUAUAUUAUGUGUUAUCAUGCAUGGAGGUCAUUACUUUUGUAGAGUGUGAGGAUUGUGCUUUACAGUUUAGUGCUUCUCAUUUCUUAGAUGUUUGUCAUCCAAGAUUACAUGGUUGGAUACUUCAUGUCAUGGUUAUAUUUGUAUUGCUUUACAUAAUUUAUUUUUGUGGCAUAGAGCAAAGCUUAUAACAUCUUAGUAAUUUUCAUGUGUGUUUAUUUAUCCUUGUUUAUUACCAUGCCAUGUUGGUAAUUGCUUAAAGUAGAAUACAUGGUUUUAUUGUAUGUCCCAAGUGUUGCAACAUUGCUAGUUUGUACUAUAUGGUCACACUUAGGGUUGGCUUUGAAGGAAAUAUGCCCUAGAGGCAAUAAUAAAGUUAUUAUUUAUUUCCUCAUAUCAUGAUAAAUGUUUAUUAUUCAUGCUAGAGUUGUAUUAACCGGAAACAUGAUACAUGUGUGAAUACAUAGACAAACAUAUAGUCACUAGUAUGCCUCUACUUGACUAGCUCAUUAAUCAAAGAUGAUUAUGUUUCCUAACCAUAGACAUGUGUUGUCAUUUGAUUAGUGGGAUCACAUCAUUAGAAGAAUGAUGUGAUUGACAUGACCCAUUCCGUUAGCCUAGCACUUGAUCGUUUAGUAUAUUGCUAUUGCUUUCUUCAUGACUUAUACAAGUUCCUGUAACUAUGAGAAUUAUGCAACUCCCGUUUAUCGGAGGAACACUUUGGAUACUACCAAACGUCACAACCUAACUGGGUGAUUAUAAAGGAGUACUACAGGUGUUUCCGAAGGUACAUGCUGAGUUGGCGUAUUUCGAGAUUAGGUUUUGUCACUUCGAUUGUCGGAGAGGUAUCUCUGGGCCCUCUCGGUAAUGUACAUCACUAUAAGCCUUGCAAGCAAUGUAACCAAUGAGUUGGUUACGGGAUGGUGCAUUACGUAACGAGUAAAGAGACUUGCCGGUAACGAGAUUCAACUAGGUAUUGGAUACCGACGAUCGAAUCUCGGGCAAGUAACAUACCGAUGACAAAGGGAACAACGUAUGUUGUUAUGCGGUUUGACCGAUAAAGAUCUUCGUAGAAUAUGUAGGAACCAAUCUGGGCAUCCAGGUCCCGCUAUUGGUUAUUGACCGAGAAUAGUUCUAGGCCAUGUCUACAUAGUUCUCGAACCCAUAGGGUCCGCAUGCUUAACGUUACGAUGACAAUUUUAUUAUGAGUUUAUAAGUUUUGAUGUACCGAAGCUUGCUCGGAGUCCCGGAUGUGAUCACCGACGUGACGAGGAGUCUCGAAAUGGUCGAGACAUAAAGAUUGAUAUAUUGGACGACUAUAUUCGGACACCGGAAUUGUUCCGGGUGAUUUUGGAGAAAACCGGAGUGCCGGGGGGUUAGCGGAACCCCCCGCGAGAGUAUUGGGCCUUAUGGGCCUUAGGAGAGAGGGGCGACUAGCAUGGGCCGCGCACCCCCUCCCUUCUCUGGUCCGAAUUGGACUAGGAGGGGGGGCGGCGCCCCCCUUUCCUUCCCCUCUCUCCCUUCCUUCCCCCUCCUAGUAGGAGUAGGAAAGGAGGAGUCCUACUCCUACUAGGAGGAGGAUUCCUCCUCCUUGGCGCACCCCAAGGGGCCGGCCGGCCUUCCCCCUUGCUCCUUUAUAUACGGGGGCGGGGGGCACCCCAUAGACACACAAGUUGAUCUACGGAUCAUUCCUUAGCCAUGUGCGGUGCCCCCCUCCACCAUAUUCCAGCUCGGUCAUAUCGUCGUGGAGUUCAGGCGAAGCCCUGCGCCGGUAGAACAUCAUCAUCGUCACCACGCCGUCGUGCUGACGGAACUCAUCUCCGGAGCUUUGCUGGAUCGGAGCCCGGAGAUCGUCAUCGAGCAGAACGUGUGCUGAACUCGGAGGUGUCGUACGUUCGGUGCUUGGAUCGGUCGGAUCGUGAAGACGUACGACUACAUCAACUGCGUUGUGCUAACGCUUCCGCUUACGGUCUACGACGGUACGUGGACAACACUCUCCCCUCUCGUUGCUAUGCCAUCACCAUGAUCUUGCGUCUGCGUAGGAAAUUUUUUGAAAUUACUACAUUCCCCAACAGGCUUUGCUUAGUUGAGAUACAUGAUAGUAGUGUAUGAUUCCAUCUUGCUUGAUCAAUUUGAUACCAUGAUGUUGUGACUAGGUAGGUAGAUGCAUAUUGUGUGUGUCAAAUCAUGUUAUAGAUCAUCCCUAGAUAUGUAGCUUAUGUCAUUACAAGUGUAAAUUGUACUUGAUAGUAAGGCAUGUUGUCUUUGUUAUUCAUGCUAUGAUAUUCAUUGCAUGAUAGUCAUGUUAGUUGAUAUCAACUAAGUUAUCUCAUAGUUAUACUUUGGCAACUCGCGCGAUCAUCAUCCAUGCUUAGCAUUAUAUCUAGUUGUUGCAUUGUUGUAUGUCUAGCCAUAGUCAUGCAAGUGAUCUUUCAUAUCUUAUGAUGUUUCGUGUGUUAUUGUUUCUUAGUGUCGUUCUUCUUAUAGAUGUUUAAAUUUGUUACAUCUUAGUCUUAUGAGUGUUUUAAUAUUUGUUGCUCAGACUCAUACAAUUAGGACGAGUCAUAUGUGAUGGGAGUAGAGUUGUGCUUUGUUCACACACUCAAUGCCUGUAUCAUGCUUUGUUAUUGUAAGCAUGUGGUGAUAAUAUUAUUGCUUUAUUGGUAUUAGUUGUUCCUUAUUAAGACCAUGUCAUAGUUUAGAAUCUUCUCAUGAGCACUUGUAUGUUGAAUGCUUGUGUUAGUUCAUUCAUCUUUAUGAUCGUAUACUCACAUGGCAUGGGUGAGAUGUGUAUUAUUAUUAAGUUGUUUAAUUAGUUGGUACCAUAGUAGCGGUUUGUCUGUUGUUAUAGAAAUGCUUACUAAUAGUUAUGAUUGAGGUUUAGUAUUUGCUUGUUAUUAACCAUUAUAAAUAUUUGAAUUCAGUCAAAUAUUUAUUUUUGGUUGAUUAAUAAUCUUAAUGAUAUCAUGUCUAGGAUAGUUGUUCAUCCAUUGUUCCACGUGUUGUAUAGUUUCUUGUCAAUUGUUUGACUAACGAAUUGUAUUGAUUUGAUGGAGUGGAACCUAUUUUAUUUUCAUAAUGGUUGAGCUAGACCUAGAUCAAUUCAAUUAAUGUUGUUGAAUGAUGUUUGAUUGCUUCAAUAGUAUGUUUUAUAAUGUUGGUUUGGUUGUCGUAUAGAACACUUGUUUUGAGUUAUUAUAGAGUUAAUAUAUAUGUUUGGAUUCGAUUGACCAUUAUGAAUAUUUAGAUUCUUGCUAAAUAUUUGUUUGUGGUUAUCUUUUGCAUUUAUCAUGCCAUGUUUUGUUUGUGUAUAUAAAAUACAUAGGAUGAUUCCAUUAAUUCUAUGCUUGUUGGUGCCAUUGUGUUUGUCAUAUGGUAGUUUCCUAUAUUGUUACUCACGAUGUGUAGUGGGCACUACUAAUUGUCUGAUAGCAUAGUUCUUACUAGAACAUUAGUCUUGAUCACCAAGCCUUCCGUAGCUGUGUCAACCUAAACCUUGUCGUUUAAUCAUCUCUCUUACCUCCCAAUCAUGCUACCUCGUUUUGAAUUUCUAUCUAAUCAAUAUCUUGCUAUCAAUCCACUCUUAUUGUUGUUUUGGAUGUUAUUGGGAUUUUCUAUUUGCUUUGGUAUUUAUUGUUUGUCUUUUGCUAUCGUUAUGACGAGUAGGGAGUGACGAGGUUGGCAUGGACAGAAACAGGUUACUGAAGAAGGACUCGACAACGAAGGCAUGUCUCCUUCUUGAUCAUACUUAUCCGAUGGUUUACCCAAUUGCAUUGAGUUUUCAUUGUUAUUAUAUGCAUGCUAUUUUAAUCUUGUAGCUAGCGUGUCGAUUGACACAUUACCUCGAUCCGCUUGUCGCCUAUUCACUUGACACCUAAGUAGAAGUAUAAGGUUCCGGUAGAGUAGAAAUGCUUAGCCAUGCUUAUCACCCUAUAGGUCCCUUGUUGAAUGACCCCUGAGUCAUUGACAGUUGAAACUUAACGCUGUGCUACGCCCUGUUGGCCCUUGUUGACCUUCUCUAUUCUCUUCUACUCUGGGUGAAACUUACCAUCUGAAUACUAGCGCGGGCGACAGCUGAAUCAAGGAUUGAAGGAGCGAUUGGCUGCCCUUCAUAAAUGAAGGGGGCAAUCAGUCGUUUGUGCCGCAUGAGGCCUAAUAAGUCUUGGAUUUGAAGUUUGUGAUAACAGUACAACCACAUGCUAUACGGGCACUGGCUUGGUUAAUUAGUUAGUUCAUUCUUAUUGUCGUCAUCGCCGUACCGCAGAUGGGACAGCUGCCUUGCAAGGAGUAUCCUCGGCACAAAAGGGGGGCCCGGACUGUGAACUGCGGUUACUCCUGUGUUGAAACCUAGUGGGCUUGGCGCAAUAAGUUUGGUCUUAUGAAAGACCUCGUCACAAUCUCCCUGCCGGUACACCAAAUGGAGUACUAUACCGGCGGCCACUGGUGGCAACAAGUCGGGAUUGUGUCGUGUGGGUAAAGUGUACAACCUCUGCAGAGUGUAAAACUAUUCGAAUAGCCGUGUCCACGGUCAUGGACAACACAUGAAUCUUUCUUGACGUACGGGACCUGUCUUGCUUAUUCCCUCUUUGCCCCUAUUCUUGAAACCUAUGAAGGACGUGAGUUGAUCGAGGAUCCUCACUUGAUGAAAGUUAUUCUGGAGAUAAAACAUGUUUUCCUCUAAAACUGCUUUUAUCCAACUACUUUAUUUGUCAAACAAAAUUAGCUUUAUGCAAAUGAGCCAUACCGCCUUCCUUUGAAGCCACAUUUAGACAUUAGGUCCUUCCCAGUGGGAGGCAUGUUGAGUACGUACUGUACUCAUGGCAAUAAUUUUGUUGACAACAGAGUUCCAUGAAGACGAAGGUGAUGACUAUGACAACUAUGGCGAUCCGUAGGAGUGAGGUCACAUGGACUACAUCGACUGCCUGUGGCUGAGAUGGAGUCGCUACGCAUUGUACUUUCUACUGCUUUCUAAUUGUAAUAAAUGUAAUGAGACAUUUCUCUAUGUAUGCCUUGUGGCAAGAUAUAUUUAAACUUGUAAUACCUUUUAUGCAUUGUGCGAUGAUAUCAUUUCGCUGUGUUGUCAACAAUGAUCCUGGGGUUGGCAAAUAAACACAGGAGGGUCUGGAAGUUAAUUCCGGUUUCUCACAUAUACCCCUCGCCCGCGAGCAGAGUACUCCACUGCUCUGUUUUUCUCUGGCCGGGGAGGGGAGGGCUUUGUGGUGCUCUAGCUCACCUCCGAUGCACAUGAGGUGUUCGAUGAAAUGCCCGAGCCACACUAGUUAAGCUUUCUCCUCUCGAAGCACGACCUCCGAACUCUAUUUUUCCUGAGAUUUGUCUAGGUUUAUAUUAGCGGCCCGUCACGCCCCGUCCCCGUCUUCACUGUCGUCGAUCGCCCGUGCCGAUCUCGUCACCGGCACCACCGUGGUGAGCCUCUUGUUCUUAUAUUCUUUCUGAAAGAGAAAAAUUCUUGCUUUAGAUAGAUACUUGUCUAAUUUUCUUACUAUUUUAUUGCUUGUUAUUAUAUAGUGCGAUGGUUUUGGUAUCCGCCCCCGUCGGCCCUCGUCCUGUCUAUGAUUCGGAUGUGGUAUAUAUUAUCUUUAUAACUAUUGUUUCAUUUAUUGUUUAUGAAAAUUAUGCCGACCAACAUGACAUAGAUUUUAUUUAUCUAGGAGGUAUGUGAACCGGAAAUUCCAACCGACCCUAUUGUCGACAGGUUAAAUUUAGUUGAAGAAGAAAACAAUUUCUUGAAGGAAAAAAUAAAAAAAAUCGAGGAGGAGAAGAUGAUAUUGGAGUUGCAUGUUGCGCAUGUCGUCGAUGAUCACAAGAUCAAGAUGGAUGCAAUGCGCUUGAAGAUUAGAAAGAUUAGAAAAUAUGCCAUUCAUACCGAGGCUUGGUAUCAUUAUGCCGUUGGAUCAAUUGUUACCUUGGUUGCGAUUAUGAUCGCAUUUGUUUUCGCAUUGAAAUGUUUUACAUACUUUCAAUUUAUGGUUUAAUUAAUUUAGAUGCUCUGAAGAGCUUUAUGUUGUUAGAUGAGAACUAUGUAUGUACUUUGGUUUUAAUGUGAUGAUGAACUUUAUUAAUUUGGUCACUUAAUUAUCUAUUCAUGAUGUUCUGUAAUGGUUUUUGACACACUUAAUUAUAUAUAAUGCACGCAGAUAAACUGGCAAUGGAUGUACGGUGACAGACACACCUCCGAGUACAUUAAGGGCGUGCAUGAUUUUCUCGAAGUGGCUGAGGCAAACAAGGAGAAUGGUUUUAUGUGUUGUCCAUGCCCUAAAUGUGGGAAUACAAACUCUUACUCUGACUGGAAAAUCCUUCACACCCACCUGCUUUACAACGGUUUCAUGCCACACUAUAAUGUUUGGACGAGGCACGGAGAAAUAGGGGUUAUGAUGGAAGACGGCGAAGAAGAAGUGGAUGAUGACAACUAUGUGCCCCUGAAUACGGUGAUGCUGCAAUGGGGGAAACUGCUAAAGAUCAAGAGGAACCAGAUGAUGUGCCCAAUGAUGCUGCAACGGGGGAAGCUACUGAAGAUCAAGAGGAACCAGACGAUGUGCCCGAUGAUGAAGAUCUCCGCCGGGUCGUUGUCGAUGCAAGGACAAAAUGCGAAAGUCAAAAGGAGAAGCUGAAGUUCGAUCACAUGUUAGAGGAUCACAAAAAGGGUUGUACCCCAAUUGCGAAGAUGGCAACACAAAGCUCGGUACCGUACUGGAAUUGCUGAAGUGGAAGGCAAAGAAUGAUGUGCCUAACAAAGGAUUUAAGAAGCUACUGAAAAUAUUGAAGAAGAAGCUUCCAAAGGAUAACGAAUUGCCCGACAGUACAUACGCAACAAAGAAGGUCGUAUGCCCUCUAGGAUUGGAGGUGCAGAACAUCCAGGCAUGCCCUAAUGACUGCAUCCUCUACCGCGGUGCGUACAAGGAUCUGAACGCAUGCCCGGUAUGCGGUGCAUUACAGUAUAAGGUAAGACGAGAUGAUCCUGGUGAUGUUGACGGCGAGCCUCCCAGGAAGAGGGUUCCUGCGAAGGUGAUGCGGUAUGCUCCUAUAAUACCACGGUUGAAACGUCUGUUCAGAAACGGAGAGCAUGCCAAGUUGAUGCGAUGGCACAAUGAGGACCGUAAGAAAGACGGGAAGUUGAGAGCACCCGCUGAUGGGUCGCAGUAGAGAAAAAUUGAGAGAAAGUAUUGGGAUGAGUUUGCAAGUGACCCAAGGAACGUAUGAUUUAUUUUAAGCGCGGAUGGCAUUAAUCCUCUCGGGGAGUAGAGCAGCAAUCACAGCACCUGGCCCGUGACUCUAUGUAUGUAUAACCUUCCUCCUUGGAUGUGCAAGCAGAAGUUCAUUAUGAUGCCAGUUCUCAUCCAAGGCCCUAAGCAACCCGACAAUGACAUUGAUGUGUACCUAAGGCCAUUAGUUGAAGAACUUUUACAGAUGUGGAAUGGAAACGGUGUACGUACGUGGGAUGAGCACAAACAGGAGGAAUUUGACCUAAAGGUGUUGCUAUUUGUGACCAUCAAUGAUUGGCCCGCUCUCAGUAACCUUUCAGGACAGACAAACAAGGGAUACCACGCAUGCACGCACUGUUUAGACGACACUGAAAGUAUAUACCAGGACAAAUGCUGGAAGAAUGUGUACCUGGGCCAUCGUCAAUUUCUUCCGACCAACCAUCAAUGUCGAAAGAAAGGCAAGCAUUUCAAAGGCGAGGCAGAUCACCGGAAGAAGCCCACCAUGCGUACCGGUGAUGUACUUACUAUGGUCAACAAUUUACACGUAACCUUUGGAAAGGGUCCAGACGUACUAGCUGUUCCGAAUGACACUGAGGGACACGCACCCAUGUGGAAGAACAAAUCUAUAUUUUGGGACCUACCCUACUGGAAAGACCUAGAGGUCCGCUCUUCAAUCGACGUGAUGCACGCGACGACGAACCUUUGCGUGAACCUACUAGGCUUCUUGGGCGUGUAUGGGAAGACAAAAGAUACACCUGAGGACGGGAGGAUCUGCAACGCUUGCAUGAAAAAGACGGCAUGCCUCUGAAGCAGUAUGAAGGUCCUACCAGCUACGCUCUUACGAAAGAAGAGAAAGAAAUCUUCUUUGAAUGCCUGCUCAGUAUGAAGGUCCCGACUGGCUUCUCGUCGAAUAUAAAGGGAAUAAUAAAUAUGCCAGAGAAAAAGUUCCAGAACCUAAAGUCUCAUGACUGCCAUGUGAUUAUGACACAACUGCUUCCGGUUGCAUUGAGGGGGCUUCUACCGGAAAACGUCCAAUUAGCCAUUGUGAAGCUAUGUGCGUUCCUCAAUUCAAUAUCUCAGAAGGUGAUCGAUCCAGAAAUUGUACCAAGGCUAAGGAGUGAUGUGGCAAAUGUCUUGUUAGUUUCGAGUUGGUGUUCCCACCAUCCUUCUUCAAUAUCAUGACGCACGUCCUAGUUCAUCUAGUCGAUGAGAUUGUUUUUCUGGGGCCCGUAUUUCUACACAAUAUGUUCCCCUUUGAGAGGUUCAUGGGAGUCCUAAAGGAAUAUGUCCGUAACCGCGCUAGGCCAGAAGGAAGCAUCUCCAUGGGCCAUCAAACAGGGGAUGUCAUUGGGUUUUUUGUUGACUUCAUUCCUGGCCUGAAGAAGAUAGGUCUCCCUAAAUCGCGGUAUGAGGGGAGAUUGACUGGAAAAGGCACGCUUGGAGGGGACUCAAUAAUAUGCAGGGACAGAUAUUCUUGGUCUCAAGCACACUACACAGUUCUAUAGAACUGUACCUUGGUGACCCCGUAUGUCGAUGAACACAAGAACAGUCUGCACUCCAAACACCCGGAGCAGUGCGACGACUGGAUUACAUGUGAACACAUCAGGACUUUUAGCAGUUGGUUGGAAACACGUCUCAGAGGUGACAAGACUAUUUGUGAUGAGCUGUACUUGUUGUCCACAGGACCAUCUUUGACUGUAUUGCUUUACAAAGGAUACGAGAUAAAUGGGAAUACAAUUUACAUGAUUGAACAAGAUGUGUCCGCUUUGAUGCAGCAACCGAGAGGGGAAAGGACACCUAUUAUGGUUACAUAGUGGACAUAUGGGAACUUGACUACGGACAUGAUUUUAAGGUCCCUUUGUUUAAGUGCAAAUGGGUCAAUCUGUCAGGAGGCGGGGUACAAGUAGACCCACAGUACGGAAUGACAACAGUGGGUCUGAAAAAUCUUGGGUACACUGAAGAACUGUUUGUCCUAGCCAAUGAUGUGGCACAGGUUAUCUACGUGAAGGACAUGUCUACCAAACCGAGAAAAAGAAAAGAUAAGGAAGCGAAUAGAUCAUACGAUGAGCCAAAGCGCCACAUAGUUCUUUCAGGAAAAAGGGACAUCAUGGGAGUGGAGGUCAAGACAGACAUGUCUGAAGAUUAUGAAAAGUUUCAUGAAAUUCCUGCCUUCAAAGUCAAGGCUGACCCAAGCAUCCUGAUAAACGAUGAAGAUUAUCCAUGGUUACAGCACAAUAAGCAAAUGACACAAGCGAAGAAAAAGUGAAAACUUUCUCCCCCAACUAUUAUGAUGAUACCAUGCCAACUUUAUAACAGACGAAUAUGAUACCAUUGUCCGUUUUGUACAUGCACAUGCUAUGUGGGUGAAAUUAUGAUACCAUGCCAACAUUCAACUUUUUCAUAGUUUAUUUGAAAUGCUUUAAUGUCUUAUGGUUUGGCCCUCGUAAUACCAUUAAUCCCGGUUCGCUCCUUGUCAACUAUGUUCUCACCAAGAACACUCAAGAGGGCAGCCAUGUGGGCCAUUGAUCCCGGCUCCUUGUCCAGGUUCCACGCACGAACCGGGACCAAUGCGCCUCGCCCAUGGCCCAUGACCAUUAGUCCUGGUUUGUGCCACAAACCGGGACUAAAGGGUUGGUCCUCGUUGCGGUCAGAGUUUAGUCCCACCUUGCGAACCGAAGGGCGCUCACACCGGUUUAUAAGUCCCUCCCUCUCUGCCUUGUUGAGCUCCUCUCAAAGUGAAAAUAGAUGCCCUUAUACAGGGAAUUUGACGUAAAUUCAUACUGAAUUUAUCUGAAAUUCAUAGAAACUUAUUAUGAAUUUAGGUUGAAUUUUUAGUAAAGUUAAUCACAAACUUGUGAUUCACACAAAUUUCACAGAAUUCAAAUUUUAACUAUUAAAAUUUGAAAACUAAUUGCACUAACAGAAAGUUUAUAAUUUUUGUGACUUAAAAGAAAAAUAAUUAAAAAUAAACUUUAAUAAAAUAAAUAAAAAAACAAUAAGUAUUUUGUUGUAAGUAGAAACAAAAUAAAAUAAAUAAAGCAACAAAGAAAACAAAAAAAACAAAAAAAAUUCAAACUAAUGGCACUAACAGAAAGUUUAUAAUUUUGCUGUCCUAAAAGCAAAAAGAAUUAAAAUAUAAANNNNNNNNNNNNNNNNNNNNNNNNNNNNNNNNNNNNNNNNNNNNNNNNNNNNNNNNNNNNNNNNNNNNNNNNNNNNNNNNNNNNNNNNNNNNNNNNNNNNNNNNNNNNNNNNNNNNNNNNNNNNNNNNNNNNNNNNNNNNNNNNNNNNNNNNNNNNNNNNNNNNNNNNNNNNNNNNNNNNNNNNNNNNNNNNNNNNNNNNNNNNNNNNNNNNNNNNNNNNNNNNNNNNNNNNNNNNNNNNNNNNNNNNNNNNNNNNNNNNNNNNNNNNNNNNNNNNNNNNNNNNNNNNNNNNNNNNNNNNNNNNNNNNNNNNNNNNNNNNNNNNNNNNNNNNNNNNNNNNNNNNNNNNNNNNNNNNNNNNNNNNNNNNNNNNNNNNNNNNNNNNNNNNNNNNNNNNNNNNNNNNNNNNNNNNNNNNNNNNNNNNNNNNNNNNNNNNNNNNNNNNNNNNNNNNNNNNNNNNNNNNNNNNNNNNNNNNNNNNNNNNNNNNNNNNNNNNNNNNNNNNNNNNNNNNNNNNNNNNNNNNNNNNNNNNNNNNNNNNNNNNNNNNNNNNNNNNNNNNNNNNNNNNNNNNNNNNNNNNNNNNNNNNNNNNNNNNNNNNNNNNNNNNNNNNNNNNNNNNNNNNNNNNNNNNNNNNNNNNNNNNNNNNNNNNNNNNNNNNNNNNNNNNNNNNNNNNNNNNNNNNNNNNNNNNNNNNNNNNNNNNNNNNNNNNNNNNNNNNNNNNNNNNNNNNNNNNNNNNNNNNNNNNNNNNNNNNNNNNNNNNNNNNNNNNNNNNNNNNNNNNNNNNNNNNNNNNNNNNNNNNNNNNNNNNNNNNNNNNNNNNNNNNNNNNNNNNNNNNNNNNNNNNNNNNNNNNNNNNNNNNNNNNNNNNNNNNNNNNNNNNNNNNNNNNNNNNNNNNNNNNNNNNNNNNNNNNNNNNNNNNNNNNNNNNNNNNNNNNNNNNNNNNNNNNNNNNNNNNNNNNNNNNNNNNNNNNNNNNNNNNNNNNNNNNNNNNNNNNNNNNNNNNNNNNNNNNNNNNNNNNNNNNNNNNNNNNNNNNNNNNNNNNNNNNNNNNNNNNNNNNNNNNNNNNNNNNNNNNNNNNNNNNNNNNNNNNNNNNNNNNNNNNNNNNNNNNNNNNUUGUAUGUACGUAUGUAUGUAUGUAUGUAUGUAUGAGGGAUCAUAUAUGUAUUUUUUGUAUGUAUGUAUGUAUGAGGGAUCAUAGAUGUAUUUUUUCAGAAUUUUCUAUCGUGCAUAGACUGAGAAGGAGAAAGGAAAAUAAGAAGAGGAAGAAAGGAGAAGAAGAGGAGAAAUAAAUAAGAAGAGGAAAAAAGAAGAAAAAGAAGAGGAAUUUUUCUUCUUCUCUUCUAUUCCUUUCUUCUUCUCCUCUUUUUUCUUCUUCUUUUUUCUUCGAUCUUCUCCUCUAUUCCUUUCUUCUUCUCCUCUUUUUAUUUCUUCUUCGUUUUCUUAUGUUUUAUUGGGUCCCUUGCCCAUAACUUCAACACGAGGGGGGGUCGAUAUACCCCCUCCCGGUAAUAUUAUUUUCCCAUGUAUGUAUGUCAUCGUUGUUGAUAUAACCCCCUCCCGAUAACUUUAACACGUGGGGGGGGGUCGAUAUACCCCCUCCCCGAUAACAUUAUUUUCCCGUGUAUGUAUGUCGUGGUUAUCAAUAUUACCCCCUCUCGACUGUGAUAACUUAUACCAAAACUCUCGAGGACACCCAAACCAUAGAAAAAACGAUGUCGGUCUCCUACCCCCUCCCGCCGCGCCCCUACCCGACAAACUCCCUCGAGGCCACCCCCUCUUGCCCGACCAAAACUCUCGAGGACACCCAAACCCUAGAAAAAGCGAUGUCGGUCUCCUACCCCUCCCGCCGCGCCCCUACUCUUGAAGCGUUGCCGAGGCCACCCCAAACCCAGAAUAAGCUCGGUCUACGUUUGCCACUAAUAUAUCCACCUGCUGUCAUGUUUGUGUAAUAAUUGCCAUGUUGUAAUAUUUGCAGAAACAAUGCAGCACAUACGAGAUGAGGAAGCAGAAGAGGUGUUGGGGGACAUAAUCUUAGCCGGAGGUGAUAUCUUGUCGUAUCUUAAUGACAAUGAUGGUCUGGAAGAACAGGGUGAAGAAGAAGGCUACGGUGAUUGAAGAAUGGAGGAGAAAGACAUGAUUAUGAUGGCUCCGGUGACCCAAUGACGGUGCAAGAAGGAGAUCGUGAUGACGGCUCCAGUGACCGAACCGAGUCCGGCCAGGUAUAUAUAUAUUAGUUAAGCCUGUGCUGACUAGCUAAUUGAUGCAUUCAUUGUUUUGGUAUAUGUACACAUAUUAAUUAACUCUCGUCUUUCUUCUUUUUUCUAGCGCUCCAGAUCGAGCACAACUUUGGUAAAGAGACGAGGCCCGAAGAAAAAGUUGCGCUCGGAUGAAAGGUUUGAGAUCACAGCAAUCGCGCCUGACGGCCAGCCGAUUGAACCCAUCUGGACAAAGGAAGCAUUUGCUGCUCAGUGUGGGGUUCUUGUUAGAGACAAGAUCCCGAUCAGCAUCCACCAAUGGUAUAAGCCUAAGAAGGAAGACCCUAAGGUGGCUUAUGUCAAUGAUAUGUAGAAAGAUGAUCUUUGGACUGAGCUGAAGGCAAAUUUCACCCUACCGCCAGAGGAGGAUCCGGAGAAGCCAGUUAAAGAGCAAUUAAUCAAGUCUCAUGCUCUUAAGAAGAUGGCAGACCUAUUUAGGAGGUGGAAGAAUGAGCUGAAAAGGUUUGUCGACAAAGAAGAGACACCAGAAUUCAUCGGCAAAUAUGAGAAGAUUAGUGAUCACUGGCCUGCAUUUGUGGCCCACAAGACAUCGAAAAAGAGUAAGAAGAUGUCGGCGACAAACAAGCAAAAUGCUGCGAAGAAGAAUCUUCACCAUCGCACGGGGUCAGGUGGCUACCUCAAAGCCCGGCCUAAGUGGGCCAAGGCUGAGAAUGAUCUAUUAAUAAAGGGAUCGAACCAGAGACAAUGAACUGGCCAGACCGUUGCGGGACUUGGUUCUUCGGGGCUGGCGGAACCUUGGACCCUAUAUCAGGGAAGUGCCUUUGGACAGACGAGCAAAUGAGAAUACCAGUCAAGAGGCUUCAGUACUAUAUCGAUGCAGUGCAUGAAGGGACGUUCGUUCCAGACAGAGAGAACGACGAGCUCACAAUGGCCCUCGGGAAUCCUGAGCACCCUGGACGGACAAGAGGCACGCCAGGCUCUGUUCUGUGGAAGGCUAGGUUUUCAGACGCAGGCGGUUACAAAUGCCAGGAGUGGAGGAAGAAAGAGCAGCAGACCGAACUGCAGGCGCUGCACGCAAGGGAACAAGCAAUAGAGGAACGAGAAGCAAAUCGCAGCAAACGAACUGCUGAAGCUUCCCCCAAAGCUACCCCGCCAUCUCAGCGGAGAAGCAGUGUGGCUUCCACCGAGCUGCUUCAGCCGGAGCAUGUCUUGAUGGCUGCUGCUAGCUACCCCGUGGAUGCUAUCAUGGAGUCUCAAAAUUGCCACCUUAUGACGCAAUGGCAGAACUUAAAAGUCAAGGUGGCUGUCGGCUCUGUUCCAACUUCUGAACCCGGUGCAACUUUUUACUGUCGUCCGAUUCCAGAAGGAUAUGCUAGGGUGACGGUGGACGAAAUAACGGAGGGAUUUGAGGACCUCCAGCUUGACCACCCUACCGGUGAAGGGGAGACUCGGCUGGGUUCUGCUCUGAAGACUCCAUGCCUAUGGCGGAAGGAGUUCAUCAACCUUCCGAACUGGACGCCUCUGCCUCCUCCUGCUCCUCCGGCGAGUCAGGGCACUCCGCAUCCUCCACCGUCUCCUCGUCCGGUGAGUGACGAUCAGGGCACUCAGCCUCCUUCACCGGCGUGUGGCGGCACUCCGCCUCCUUCUCCGCCUGCGCCGGCGUGCCCCAGCAGCCAGCAACAUCCACCUUCUCCGCCUCGGCAGCAAGGGCGGAAGAGACCCGCCUCCGCCCCGGCUGCUCCGGCACGUCAUAGACCUUCUCCUCCGCCUCGUAAGCAAGCACGAAAGAAGACAGCCGCAGUCGCUCCGUCUGCUCCGGCGUCUAGCAGUACAGCCAGAGGCGGGUGGCAAUGCAGAUAUGGUCCACCUCUCAAGCCUCUAGAGAAGUUACCGUACGAGAGGACCGAGGAGGAAAAUGCGAAGAUCGUUGCAGACCGAAGUGAAGGACUUCUUUGAAGGGUUGAAAGCAAAGAGACAUCCACCUCCGGAGGAGAAGGUAGAUCCGGUGAAAGCAAAUCGCACUAUCGAUGCCCUGAGGAAACCACCAAUGUCUCCGCCGAAAACCAAAUAUGAGCGCAUUACUAAAAAGGCAUAUCUUGAAGCGGAGCGGUCGGGAAGUACUGUCAGUGAUCAAAGGUUAAAAGAACGAGCAGCUGGGAAAAAAAUUGCCCAGCUCGGCAAACAAGCAAAGCAAUAGUGGCCCCCGCUCAAUGUGUCUAGCGACAUCGUCGCUAAUGCUCCGGGGACGGUGCCCAGUUAUAGCAAUCUUAGAGGUUACCUGCCUGACGAUGUACAUUUUGAUUUCUUGGAGGUGGACGAACACAGAUACGAGUACGGGAAGCCUCUCGUCAAAGAUGAAAAAUCUCUAACAACGAUGAUGCGAAGAUUCCAUAAUUGGUACAUGAAAACCUGCAGAGAGUCUGGGGGACAAAUACUUUGUAUCUGAGAAUUAAAGAGGAGCACGACCUCGUUGGAACUUUUCUGUUGCCUGUUCCAUUUGAGGAGUUCUUCGAGUUCUUCAAUCAAAAUGCCUUCGAUAAAUUAACGGUCUUUUGCUACUGUCUGUAAGUACUAUUUCUGUCAUUAAAUCUUUAUAUAUAGCUCAGCUCUUUCAAUGCAUGUAUCUAUAAUUAAUUAUCCUAACUAUAUUAUGCAGAUUGAAGAUCGUCGAGUGAAGAAAGAAGAAAUGUAUGAUAUUGGGUUCAUUAACAGAAAUAUCAUAGAUGAUUUUCUGGUUACAAAAGACGCCGAAGAGGCCGAGGCCUACUUGCUACAAUCGUUGAUCAAAAAUCAAAACAAAGAUUUAAUACUCCUUCCUUACAACUUCGAGUGAGUGUUACUGUCGUGUGCAUAUUCGGUUUCCCUUAUUACUUGAGCGAGGUUAUAGUAAUGUAAUUGAUGAGUUAUGCAUGCGUGCGUAGCUUCCACUAUGUUCUUCUGGAGAAUAAGCUUGAGCGGGGGCUAGUAACCGUCUUAGACUCGAGACGAAAAGAUCCCGAAACCUAUGUAGACAUGACUAAAAUGCCAAACAAGUAAGUUCAAUCGAUCAUUAAGCACCAUAUCGGCAACUUUUUGUUCAUUUCCUGAUAUCUCAAGUAAUAAUAAUUAUUUUCUUUGUCUUGCAGGGUUUGGAAACAGUUCACCACAGAAGCUCCGGGACUGCCGAAGGAGCUGCGAUAUACAUACCCGAAAGUAAGUACUACUAGCUAGCUAGUUGCGCGCAUCUCCCGUUGAUUCUAUAGCUAUACUUUCAUCAAUGCCAUUUAUAAUGCUUCAUUAUCAGUUUGAUUGACCUCUAUUUCUCGUAAAGUGCUUGUGACAGGAACAAGGGAAUGAUUACUGCGGAUACUACAUGUGCGAGUUCAUCUACAACGCGACUUCGAAAAAUAAGCGGGACUACUCUAAAAGACAAUAUGAAGUGCGUAAGCAAUAAUAUUCACAAUUUCAUUUUAUUAGACAAUCAUUUCUGUUGAGUUUCAUUAAUAUAUAUGUAUUAACCCCCCUUUUCAAAUUAGAUGUGGCAGAUGCAGAAUGAACUCCUACCACAAGAUCGCAUGAAAGCAAUUCAAGAGGAAUUGGCGGGAUUCUUUCUUGACCAUGUCAUUAUUAAAGCCGGAGAAUACCAUGUGGAAGUUGAUUUCAAAUGCUAGGGGAUUGUAAGAGAUCUUACAUAUUGUAUAUGUAUGUAGCCAGUAGCGUUGGAUAGAUAAUACGAAAACUUGUUGUUCGACCAAUCUCUCGGAGAAGGAGAGGUCGAUCGAUCACUUCUCUCGGUAUGCACGGCGAACUUCUGUACUUAAUGGUUUCCUUCAUUUUAUUACUAGCUAGCAUUUCGAGGGCCUUUCUAUGUAUAGUACGUAGCGUCGACCAAGCACGGACAUAAGAGAGGACACUUCUCUCUAUUAAUUAGCUAGCUAACACAAUAUAUGAAACACCUAAAUUAACCCCCCAAAACCCCCAACCCCCCCUUUAAAAUAAACAAAAACCUCAGCCUCUGAAAUGCUGACGCGUGGAUGCCUUUUGGUCCCGUUGGUCCCGGGACCAAAGGCCCUCCUGCCUGGGCUCGGCGCACCGGCCACGUGGAGGCCCAUCUAUCCCGGUUCGUGUUAGAACCGGGACUAAAGGUCUAGGGCAUUAGUAACGACCCUUUAGUCCCGGUUCAAGAAUCGGGACAAAAGGCCCUAACCAACAGGGACGAAUGGGUUUUUUUCUACUAGUGUGAGGAAAGGAUGAUGGAGACUAUGAUUCCCCCACAAGUCGGGAUAAGACUCCGGACAAAAAUAAAAAAUAAUAAAAAAAGAGGCCAUAAAAAAGGAAAAAGGGGAGAAAGGCCCAAAUAAAAAAAUAAAAAUAAUAAAAAAUGAGGGAAAAAGAGAGAAGGGACAAUGUUACUAUCCUUUUACCACACUUGUGCUUCAAAGUAGCACCAUGAUCUUCAUGAUAGAGAGUCUCCUAUGUUGUCACUUUCAUAUACUAGUGGAAAUUUUACAUUAUAAAACUUGGCUUGUAUAUUCCAAUGAUGGGCUUCCUCAAAAUUCCCUAGGUCUUCGUGAGCAAGCGAGUUGGAUGCACACCCACUUAGUUUCUUUUGUUGAGCUUUCAUACACUUAAUAGCUCUAGUGCAUCCGUUGCAUGGCAAUUCCUACUCACUCGCAUUGAUAUCUAUUAAUGGGCAUCUCCAUAGCCCGUUGAUACGCCUAGUUGAUGUGGGACUAUCUUCUCCUUUUUCGUCUUCUCCACAACCACCAUUCUAUUCCACAAAUAGUGCUAUAUCCAUGGCUCACGCUCAUGUAUUGCGUGAAGAUUGAAAAAGUUUGAGAACAUCAAAAGUAUGAAACAAUUGGUUGUAUUGUCAUCGGGGUUGUGGAUGAUUAAAUACUUUAUGUGAUGAAGAUAGAGCAUAGCCAAACUAUAUGAUUUUGUAGGGAUAACCUUCUUUGGCCAUGUUAUUUGAGAAAACAUGAUUCCUUUGUUAGUAUGCUUGAAGUAUUACUAUUUAUUAUGUCAAUAUGAACUUUUAUUUUGAAUCAUUUGGAUUUGAACAUUCAUGCCACAAUAAAGAAGAUUACAUUGAUAAAUAUGUUAGGUAGCAUUCCACAUCAAAAAUUCUGUUUUUAUCAUUUACCUACUCGAGGACGAGUAGGAAUUAAGUUUGGGGAUGCUUUAUAUGUCUCCAACAUAUCUAUAAUUUUUUAUUGUUCCAUGCUAUUAUAUUAUCCAUCUAGGAUGUUUUAUAUGCAUUUAUAUGCUAUUUUACAUGAUUUUUGGGACUAACCUAUUAACCUAGCCUAGCGCUAGUUUCUUCUUUUCCCUUGUUUUUGAGUAUCGCAGAAAAGGAAUACCAAACGGAGUCCAGACGUGCCAAUUUUUGAUGAUUUUUUAUGGACCAAAAGAAGACCACAAAGAAUUGGAGUUGGUCCAGAAGAGCCCCGGGCUGCCCACAAUGGUGGGGGGCGCGCCCACCCCCCUGGGCACGUCCCCUGCCUCGUGGACAGCCGGGAGACCCCCCUGACUUGUUCCCAACGCCAUAAAUUCCUAUUAAUACAGAAACCUGCAGGAGCAUACCUAGAUCGGGAGUUCCGCGGCCGCAAGCCUCUGUAGCCACCAAAAUCCAAUCGGGACCCUGUUUCGGCACCCUUCUAGAGGGCGGAACCCUCACCGGUGCCCAUCUUCAUCAUCCCAACGAUCUGCAUGACGAGCAGGGAGUAGUUCUCCCUUGGGGCUGAGGGUAUGUACCAGUAGCUAUGUGUUUGAUCUCUCUCUCUCUCUCUCUCUCUCUCUCUCUCUCUCGUGUUCUUGAGGUGGUACGAUCUUGGUGUAUCGCGAGCUUUGCUAUUAUAGUUGGAUCUUAUGAUGUUUCUCCCCCUCUACUCUCUUGUAAUGGAUUGAGUUUUCCCUUUGAAGUUAUCUUAUCGGAUUGAGUCUUUAAGGAUUUGAGAACACUUGAUGUAUGUCUUGCCGUGCUUAUCUGUGGUGACAAUGGGAUAUUCAUGUGAUCUACUUGAUGUAUGUUUUGGUGAUCAACUUGCGGGUUCGCCUUGUGAACUUAUGCAUAGGGUUGGCACACGUUUUCAUCUUGACUCUCCGGUUGAAACUUUGGGACACUCUUUGAAGUACUUUUGCGUUGGUUGAAUAGAUGAAUCCGAGAUUGUGUGAUGCAUAUCGUAUAAUCAUACCCACGGAUACUUGAGGUGACAAUGGAGUAUCUAGGUGACAUUAGGAUUUUGGUUGAUUUGUGUCUUAAGGUGUUAUUCUAGUACAAACUCUAUGAUAGAUUGAACGGAAAGAAUAGCUUCGUGUUAUUUUACUAUGGAAUCUUGAAUAGAUCGAGCAGAAAGAAUAACUUUGAGGUGGUUUCGUACCCUACCAUAAUCUCUUCGUUUGUUCUCCUCUAUUAGUGACUUUGGAGUGACUCUUUGUUGCAUGUUGAGGGAUAGUUAUAUGAUCCAACUAUGUUAUUAUUGUUGAGAGAACUUGCACUAGUGAAAGUAUGAACCCUAGGCCUUGUUUCCUAGCAUAGCAAUACCGUUUAGGCUCACUUUUAUCAUUAGUUACCUUGAUGUUUUUAUAUUUUCAGAUUACAAAAACCUAUAUCUACCAUCCAUAUUGCACUUGUAUCACCAUCUCUUCGCCGAACUAGUGCACCUAUACAAUUUACCAUUGUAUUGGGUGUGUUGGGGACACAAGAGACUCUUUGUUAUUUGCUUGCAGGGUUGUUUGAGAGAGACCAUCUUCAACCUACGCCUCUCACGGAUUGUUAAACCUUAGGUCAUCCACUUGAGGAAAAUUUGCUACUGUCCUACAAACCUCUGCACAUUGAACAAACGAAGGUUGCGUAGUAGACAUCACUGAGCAUGGGGAUACAUUUUUUUUCUUACCCUAUCUGCUCUGUAUCCUAAAAUACACGCCGGAUAUGUGUUAAUUGGCUCUGAGAUUUGUGUUUGCCAAAUAUAUUCGAGUACCUAACAAGAGGCUAAUGAGAGACUUUAUACAGAGUAGUUUUAUCUACAUAAUUAUCGUGUAUUACGGAGAACUGAUACAUUUUUCCAAGUCAUUUCUCUCAUGAUUAGGAUAGAGACUUCGAGUCGGGACGUUUUGUUUCAGUGUAAUGUCAGGUUGUCCAAGGGAUUUGGAAUUGUUGCUGUGUAGAUUGUGUCCUCCAGGAUCGGAUAAGGUACUGUAAAUUUUUCUCGGCAUGAAGUAAGUUGGAGUUGGUUCAGUACUUCAGAGGCCUCAUAAAUCACUGCAACAAGUGAAUGCUCAAUUGUACCAGAGCUGCGCAUGGACGUGGAGUUGUUAUACUGGUAUAGGUUAUUUUUCCUCUGGAUAAGAUAAGAUGUUGUAAAAUAGUCUCGGCUUGAACUAAGUUCAAAUUGGUUCAGUAAAUCACUACGCAAAUGAAUGCUCCAUUGCAACAGAGCUGCACAUGGACGUGGAGUUGUUAUACUAGUUCCAUCCUCCACCUCAGGUGAGCCCUUCCCUCCUGUACCAUGUUCCGUCCAAUUUUUUCCCAGAAGUUUCUCGCAGUAUAACUGCAAUUGGUCAACGCAGUUAGUAGUCAUUAUGCCUCCAACUGCAAUGCAUGUGGCGUUUGUGAAUCAUGAAAUGGUUGCUUUGCUUGCUUGCGAUUAGUCUAGUCUAUGCAGCAGGUGCACGCUCUGAGCUCGCUCGCAAGGUGUUUGCGACAAUGCCUCUAGGAAAGUUGAAAUGUCAAUUUGUUCAGCCAAUGUAGAAUUCUAUGUUCCACAAGAUACGGAGGAGCCUAUGGAUCUUAAACUUUGCUCAUUAAAUUGAACAGAAAACAUUGUACUAUUCGUACACAAACAAAACAUCUAUGGGUGGGGAUGUUGGCGUUGCGCGAUUAAAUUGAAAAGAAAAUGCUCUGAUAAGAUUAGCAUAUACGGUGUGCUUCAUGCAUCCAAGAGACCAAGAUGUCUUCUCUUCUCUGUGGGGAGAAGCUGAUUUUGCAUUGACGGCUAAUGAUUAUUCUUUGUGUUCCAUAGUUUAAAAGGCAACCAUUUUGCACUGGAUAACCAAGUAUUCUGCCAGGGUUAAAUUUAAUUAAGAAUGUUGUUCUGCACUUUUGCUUAUUGUAAGCUCCUCCUUUUGCCCAUUUUAUUUCCUUGGGAAAUGUACUCUGAUUCAGCCAGGACAUCACAAGACUGUGCUCUGUUUCUUCUCAGGUCCAGCCUGAUUCGGCAUUCCUGGACAGCCACAAGGCAUGCCUUGGCCGCCAUUGAGCAGAAUGCCGCUGGUGGCCAGCGGCUACAGAGUGUCGUCUCAGCGGACAAGGGAGUAUCAGGCGAGACAUCAUCAUCAUCAAGCGAGCAUGGGAGUUUUUCCUGCAAGCAAGUAUCUCAUUAUCCUUACCUUCAUCUGAACCACACUUGCAUUUUUAAAUCUUUGGAGAUGGCGUAGGAUAAGGCCCAGAUGAACGCUAGCCACUGUUAGGAGUACAAGUUUAGUCCUGACAGACUGGGCGUAAGUGGAUUGGUUUGCCUUUUGAUUAGUAUAAGUAGAUGGUAGCAGACCUGGACAAAUAACAUUGGAUCUUAAUGUCUCAUGACAUUGAGUAGAGGACAAGAGAUCGGAUGAGUCUUGUUGUCACAUGUGGUUCGGAUGGUCAAAGUAGAUGAUAGUUGGAUCCGAGCACCCAGUCAGUGAUGCUCUGCCGCCCGAUUUAAAAUGGUGCUCUCUGGAGAGUCAACGUCGACCCCGGCGCUGGUGCAGGAGGUGUCCAUGGGCAACGUCCUCAGCGCAAAGUUCGGCUAGGCCCCGGCCAGGCAGGCCUCUCUCCGCGUCGCCUGCCCAACACCGUACCCUGCACUACUGUCAACAAAGUCUGCUCAUCGGGGACGAAGUGUAUCCAUAUUUCAUCUCUUCACCUGCAAUGUCUCCGUAGUUACUUGUCGCCGCUGCUAAAAAACAUAUGUUGUUGCAUGUUGGCCUGCUCCUUGCUAUCUGAAGUAUAUAUUUUUUGUCUAUCGCUCAUUCGCUAUCUGAAUAAUUUUAUGAAGGUAAUUUUAGUGUGUGUUUAGCUUUCUGUUUUUGCUUCUACUUCACAGAGUGGAAGAUCGUAAGAAAACAUUGGAUGAUCUUUAAGAAUUAUUCUUAGAAGUAAACCUGAGCAGUAUUUGAUGAUAUAUUGUGAGUCACUGAAAAUGUAUAUUGUUUUUUCUUCAGGAUAUGGAUGACUAUCUGAAGGGAUGCAGGUUUCUUCCCAAACUUAAGAAUGAGAUACCUGGUGAAAGAAAUGCUCCCUAGUCCCUACAGGGAAAGGUUGAGCAGCCUAGAGAAUUUAGUACUGAUCAUGGUAAGGCCAACAAAGCCUGAAAUCUCAUUUUGAUCCACGUUCAAAGAUUACAUGCUACCAUAUAUACUUGAAGUUGGCAUGUAAUAUCAAAAUUAAAAAUAGACUUCGCCUAUUCCCUGUUUAGAAGAGCAGUGGGAAUCAAUUUUCUGAUGUCCUUUGUUGGCGAUUUCCCUAUCCAUGAAAUGAUAAAUUUUGAAGAGAUGUUAACUUUCAAAUAUUUCAAGCAUAUAUAGCUCAAAUACACUAGUAUUUCUUGAAUGCACCAAAACAAGAAGAUAGCAUCAACACGUACAGCUAGGGUAUGCAUUUAGUAGGUGUUUUUCCGUUUUGAAGAUUCAUAAUAGACUAAAAGAGACAGAUAAUUGAAAAAAAUACCGUAGUGGAUCUGCACAAGGGCGCUAACUAACAAGUUUUCACUUUCUCGAUUGGGUGUAGGGUGAUCGACGAGGACUACUGUGGCCCGAUGGGAGUCGUGCUCUUCAACUACUCGGAGGCAGACUUCACCG
rnacentral:lncRNA from 1 species